AGUAUUGAAACUAGUUCAAUUAAGAUACCUCGCCCUCCUUUAUAAUGGAAACCUCCCUUCUUCCAUUUUCAAACUCUGGAACCUUCAAAACUUGAUUGUUGUUCGACAUCUAAAGAUAGUAAAAUCUAUUGGGAAUCUAUUGUAUCUGCCUAUUGAGAUAUGGAAUAUGAAUGAAUUGAAGUAUCUUUACACCUGCGGAAGAGACCUACCACAUCCUUAUUGUGAAGGAUCUCUCCUACCAAACCUCUUAAACCUAUGUGGUGUCGGUCCUCAAAGUUGUGCCAAAUCUGUGCUCGAAAAAAUCCCUAAUUUGAAGGAGUUGUCGAUUCAUAUCGAGCUGGCUCCAGAUGCUACAGAGCCCUUGACAUGCUUUGAUCACAUUUCCCAUCUCCAUCAACUACAAGAACUAGGAUGUUACAUUAUGAAUCCUACAUUGAAGACAGAUGUUGUUACCCCACUUGUUCCUCUUUCAGACUUCCCAUUAAGUCUUACAAAGUUAUAUUUGAAAGGCUUGGGAUAUCCGUGGGAAGAAAUGAGAAAGAUUUCUUCAUUGCCAAAUCUUACACAUCUCUUCCUGGAAUGCUAUGCCUUUCGAGGCCCAAAAUGGGAGGUUCGUGACAACGAAUUCCAAAGUCUUUUAUGUCUUAAUAUUGAAGACAUCGAUCUCGAGCAAUUGACAUUUCAAAAUUGUCAUUGCCUCCCUGUGAUUGAGAGCCUUCAUAUCUCACAUUGCUACAAGUUAAAAGAGAUCCCUCUCACAUUUGGUAAAUCUCUUGUAAACAUUAAAGUAGUCGAAUGCAACCCUAUGGCUGUGAAAUGUGCAAUCAAGUUAAAAGAGGAGUGGGACGACAAAUAUGCUGGUCGUGAACGUUUGUUAGAACUUGUUGUUCGUUCUUCACUGUAACAAUGGGAACACCAAACCGUGAGUGACUCUACCAUAUCAUUGAUUCUUCAAAAGGUUAGUCGUUAAAUUAAACAAACCAUAAUUUUUUUAGUAUUAAAUUUGAAUUAACAUAUAUAUUUUUUUAUUAUAAUUUCAUCAUACAAUGAAUAUUACCAAAGAUAUACUCGGUAUAUAUGCAUACAUUCUCCUACAAAACAAUAGAAAUAGGCAAUAUAGAUAAAUGGUUGAUAACACAUAUAAUAGGAUCAUAUAAGUUGCGUUUGGAUGAAACAGUUUGAAUUUGCUACAAUAGAGAUAGAUUUUAUUAUAGGGUAAAUUACGAAAACUCCCUGAACUAAGGCUAAAUAAGGAAAAAAAAACCCACCUAUUCGUAAUUACCAAAAACCCCUUAGGUUUGUUUCCGUUUUACACCAACCAUUUACAGUGUGAGUUUUCAAGUAUUUUUUUUUAAUUCCAAGAAAUAGACUUUACACAAUUGCACAUAUUUUCUUUUAUUUCUCACCUAUUAAAUAGAAGGUAUAAUUGUUUGUACAAAUUUUCUGUUAAAAAACUCGAUUAACAGUUAAUCAGAGGGGGAUUCCGGUUAUUACGGAUAGGUGCGGGUGUUUUUCGUUAUUUAGCUUAAGUUCAGGAAGGUUUUCGUAAUUUACGCUUUAUUAUAUUACAAAUUAAUUUAUUUGAUUACUGAUCAAUGAAUUUGCUAUUAUGGAUUUGUAAAAAAAAAUUAACAUCCGAAAUCAUUGAACAUUCUCCUUUAUUACAGGUGUAUCGUCUCAAGUGCCGUAGGCUGAUUGAUCACGAGAGAAAUUACAUCGACAUUGUUUGCAUCAAGGAAUCGGAGGAACGUACUUUCAGUUUUGAGACGGACAAAUCAAAGCGUGUUUGAAUAUUUUGUUAAUGUUAUUUGGUGUGUUUAAUUUUUCUUGAUUGAAUUUUUAUUACAUCUUCAUCAGUUAUAUGUUGUGAGGUUAAAAUUAAGACUAUUGCGCAAUUAAGAAAGUGUAAGUGUGUCGAACAUAUUUGUCGAAUGUACAAGUUUUACCCGUCUCUGCCAAAAAUAGGUAAAGCAGAGAUAGUUACAGAGAUACGAUAACCGAAGUAUAACGAACAUAUACGCAACAGUAAGUCAUAUUUUCCAUCGGAAAAAGAGCCGUGCUGAAUAUCUCUCGAUUUCAUAUUUCAAAGAACUAAAAAGCCCGUCUGUUUUGUUACUUGAAGUUAGGUGGAACAGUAUCUGCUGCAAAAUACUCCUCUUUGACGGUCUUCGCGGAGCAAAAUCUCACCUUACAAAACACAUUGCAAAUUAAAUGAAAAUCGAGGAAUGUUAGAAGCAUAUGCAGUUUCGAAACUAAACGAAACACACGAGAAAAUUAAUCUUAACUGUUGUCUGAAAAAUGUAAAAUAAAUUAACUUGUUAAUUAUCGUAAUGAAUGAAUGCCGAAUAUAUCUUCAUGGUUCUUGAAAAAAAAAAAUCGGAAUCUAAUAUAUACUUCAAUUAUGUUUCGAAAAAUUGGAAAUCGGAACUUUCGGAAUUUAGAUAAAAAAAAUAUUGUUACAAAAUAAAAUAUAUUCAGAUCAGAACUGGCAGAGAGUUACUAGAGAUGUUGCGGGGUAUGGUCUUUUUCUUUUCUUUCUUUUUAGGGGAUUUCGUACAACUUAAAUCAUAACGAGUAGCAAGUCAACGAGUGUUAAGUGUAUAUUUUUACACUUUAUCGUAUCUUUUUAUUUGAGCUUUUGGUGUGUUUUAAUGAUAAUUGGUGCUUAAAAAGUUGAUUUAUUGUAUUUUAGGUACAAAUUGAAGAAUUGGAAAAGUAUGGGGUCAAAAGUGCAAUUUUGGCAAAAAUAUGGGUCAAAAGUGAAAAUAUCAAAAUUCUGAAGAAACAAGGCUCGGACCCCGUCCCAGUUUUAGUGCAAAUUAUGGGACCCCCGUCCCAUAACCCGAAGUUGCGCGGUAAAGGAAUUUUAAUUGCACAAGGAAACUGCCUUCUUCCCCAAGUUCUUCACCCUAUAUAAGACCAAGCCAAGCACACAAUUGGGGAUCCAUCUUUGGACGCAAAUUCAAGAGCAUAGAAGAUCAACGAAGAUUCAAGCAUAGUUUUUCUUAUUUAAUUUAUUUCUUUUAUUUUCUUUAUCAUAAGAAUCACGAGUAGCUAAGUCUUUAUUUCUAGGAUUUUAUUUGGAACCCUAUGUGGGAUUUAUGAACCCAAUUCUAUGAUUUUAUGCAAGUUUUAAUUCCGGAUUAUUUCUUCUACUUGUUUUAUUAAGUUCAUGAAACUGGCCACUUUAUGCGCUUUUAUGUUAUUGUUAAUCGCAUGAAUCGGAAGAUCGGGUUAAUAAUUAGAACUGUGGUAGAAGAGCCUUUGUGGUAUUAACAUAGGAAUAUAGUUAAUCUCUUAGGUAGCCAUUAUUGAGAUUUGUGUUUAAUGUUGUGUUCUAGAAUUAAUUGCAUAGGAAUAUAGUAAUUGAAUCUAGAGUAUUAGAAUCGUAAUACACGCGGAAGCGGGUUAUGAUUAUUUUAGCAUCUCAGGUUAAUAAUCCGGGUUAAUUGCUUGCAUAAUUGAAGGAAUUGGGGGAGUAAUAAUCACAUAGGGGGAAGAAUAAAAUCCUAGGCUCGUUUACUUUGAUUAAAUCUUCGUUUUAAUUGCUUUCUUGUUUUUGUCUUUUUAAUUGCUUUAGUUUAAUUUAGUUUAUUAAUCCUUUUUCGACUGUGUAGGGUGGGCUUGAUAAUAAUUGGUAGAAUUUAGCGUCUAGGAUUAGAUAAUUAAAUAUUCCCUGUGGGUUCGAUAUCCGGACUUUUAGUCCACUAUAUUACUUGUACGAUACGUGCACUUGCGUGUAGGUUUUCGCCCAACAAGUUUUUGGCGCCGUUGCCGGGGAUUAUUUUAAUUAUUUAUUUUAUUCUAGCUCUAAAUUUGAACAAUUUUCACGAUUCACCCAAAUUAAUUUUUUUUAAUUUUAUCUUUUCGUUUUAAUUUUUUUUAAUAUAUUUUUUUUCUUUGGUUACAUGUCAGGUUACAAUUUUCGCGCACCUCAAACGGGAUAUGAAUGGCUUCCGUCUGGCGAAUACCUCCAAAAUACCUAUGAUAUGCCGUUACUUUGUUCAAUAUGUGGUGGAGAUCAUUACAGUAACCACUGUUGGUAUGCACCGAAGGCGAAUAAUUUCACAGAUAAUACCAACGACGGUUAUUGGAACACAUACACCAACACGUACGAGCAGAGCGUUCCAAGCCAAGGUUUCCACAAUUUUCAACAUCAAGAGCCGCAAUUUGAUGAUUUUCAACCCUAUUAUGCAAGGCCACGAGAACCCACUAUUGAGGAGUGUUAUAGGAAAUCCAUCCUUGAAGAUUUUAUGAAAUCCACUCAAGCAUCUAUCCGAAGACUGGAAAUAAUGUUGGAAGAGAUGAAGCUCAAGAGGUCUCCUGAAAAUAUUUCAGACAAUAUCGAGAAUGGUUGCAACAAACAAAAUCCGUCUACAACUUAUAGUGAGAAAAAUUCUUUAGACCUAGAAAAUAUUGUCGAUGAGAAGGAAAAGGAACUUACGAAGACGCUUAAGGAUGAUGAAUAUGAGAAUGCAAUCGAGCUCAACUCCAAAGAUGUCUCGGAACAAGAGAAGAAGGGGAUGGAUGUGGUUAGUGCAAAUAUUCAAAUUGAUGAUCUUAUUGUUAUUCCUGACGUGGCUUUGAAGGCAUCAAUAGAGGUUGAUGAGAAGACGAAUGUGUUUGAAGUGGAGGUUAUACGCGGACGUGAGAUUUUUGUGUACCGAUUUGAGGGAGCGGGUGAUGAAGACCCCAUCUUGGCUUCGUACCGAUUGAUUACAACCAAGAAAAUUUACAAGCUAAAGUGGACCCUGACAUAUUGCAAUCCUAUCCCUGUAUCGGUUGCAAUUGAAGUGACAAAGCUCAUGGAUGGGUGCGCAAUCUACAAGGCUUUGGAUUGGACAUAGCGAUUUCAAGAAGCAAAGUCUGGCUGAAGACUUUAAACUUAGCGCUUCUCGGGAGGCAACCCGAGCUUUAUUGUUUUUCGUAGUUUUCGUUAAUUUUUUCGUUUCGUUUUUUUUUAUUGUCAUAAGAAUGCAUUAUAAUUCACUAUUUGAAUUUUACUUUUCAGGGUCGAAAAUGUGAUCGAGGGUCGAGUCGGCUGUCCGAAAAAAAAAAUAAAUAAAUAAAAUAAAAUAAAAUAAAAAAAUAAAAAUUGCACCACUGCCUGUGGGACGGCCGUCCCACAAAUAGGUGUAAAUGUGGGACCCCCGUCCCACAACCAGUAAGGAGAAAAAAUUUCGGACGACCGUCCGAAAUUUAGCACAAAAACCGGGACGGCCGUCCGAACCUAGUUGGGGCGUUUUAAAUGUUUAAAAAUCAGAUUUUCUCCCCCAUUAUUUCCUAAACCCUCCUCGUUCUUUUUCUCAAACUCUCACACACAAAAGGAAGCUAGAGAAUCAAACCAAAUUCUCCAAAAUCUACUCUUUCAAGGCACGCCCACAAGGUGUUCGAUAAUUUGCUCCAACCAAAUUUUGAGUUCGAUUGUCAACCAAUUCUUACCGAAUCUAUUCCAACCUCUCUCCCAACUUUCUUGUCCAACAAAAGAAGCCGCACGAGUGAAGCUUCAUCUUCUAAAGGCAAAGGAAAAGGCAAGAAAAGUGCCACCAAAACGACGAUUCCUCUUCCAAAGCCGCUCCUCAAGCCCGAGACGACCCCGAAGCCUCAAGCUCCCGUGCCGAUCGACGAUUCCAAAUGAAGAUGGAGCGAGAGAGCUUUCCGAUGAGGACGAGCGUGAGAGAGCGAGAGAGGAGCACCCCGAUCACAUCGACUCCGAAUAAAUCAGGUGUUUUCUAUCCUUAAACUUUGUGCUAAUUUCGUUGAGGGCAACGAAAAUUUUAAGUUUGGGGGUGAAAAACAUGUUAUUUUUGUGCUUAUUUGUUUUAGUUUGCAUGCAUUAGGUUUUAUUCGUUUUUAUUGUUUUUCUCGUUUUUCCGGAAUAUAAAAAAAAAAAAAAAAAAAAAAAAAAAACAUUGCUUGAGUCGAAUGCAUCGAUGAUUUAUGAUGAUGAGAGAUGAUCAAUGUUUGAUGAUGAGAUUGCUUGUUUUGUGUGAUAAGGAUUUGAUGUUUGUUUAGAUUUCGAUUCAACGGGACUUAGAAGCGAAUUAUUGCUAGGAAUCACAUUUUGUGCAUUGCUUUGGUUGAAUGUUUUGUAUUUUAAAUUUGGAAUUAAUUUGUGCUAGAUCAUGUUAUGUUCGGUUUUAAGACUCACCUUAGGAAAUUUAUGAUACGAAGUAUUGAGUAGUGAGUGAUUUGGGAUAUGAUUUGGGCCUUCUUUGAACCGUUUGAGCCUUUCAAGCCGACCUUUUUAUCGAAAUUAUCCUUAGAACCUUGUUUUGAGCCUCGGAGAAAAGGUGUUCUUUCUUUUAGCCAAUGUGUAAGGUAGAAUAGGUGGAGAUUCUUGAAAAAAUUAUCCCUUGGAGUUCGGUCGAAAUUUUUUUAAGGUCCUUCUUCUUCUUCUUCUUCUUCGAAAAAAAAAAAAAAAAAAAAAGAGAAAAAAGAAAGAAGACAAAUAUCUAUGCUUCUAUAUAAAAAAAAAAAAAAGAGAGAGAGAGAGAGAAAAAAGAAGAAGAAGAAGAAGAGACUAGAAGGGAGAAAUAAGGACUAGUUGGUGAAUUAUUUUUGAAAACUCGAUCCCUUGCCUCAAAAGCAAAAGUGGAGACUUUUGAACUUUUGAGAAUCGAGUUUACUAAAGUCCGUAGAGGUGAAUUCAUUGUUUCAAACGCCUAUCUUUCAAAUUUUGGCGUAAUCACCUAAUUUCAAGAAGAAUAGCCACAUAUACCCAUAUUUCCUACCUCGAACCAAAGAGCCUAACAAUUGAAAGCCACAAAGCCCCAAUGAUCCCAAUAGCUUAAUGUUCGAUAUUAGUAGAGUAGAAUAAUUUGGUGAGUAUUUGGAGUCAACCAUAUGCAUGUAAGUAUAAAUUCUUUCUAUCUUUAAUUUGCAAAUAUUGGAUGCUUGAAGCAAUUGUAUGAAUUGUGGUUUUGGUAAUGGUGAGUGACUAAGUGUUGUUGAAUUUUGAGCUUGCGAAUGCCUAAGAAUUGUCAUUAUAAUUACAAGUUCUGAAAACGUGAAGUUGAUCAUUGAUCUAUGUGAUGAGAUGUAAUAGUUGAGUUAUUUGCUUAUUGGUAGAUUUUGCUUGAGGACAAGCAAAAGUUCAAGUUUGGGGGUGUGUUAAGUGUAUAUUUUUACACUUUAUCGUAUCUUUUUAUUUGAGCUUUUGGUGUGUUUUAAUGAUAAUUGGUGCUUAAAAAGUUGAUUUAUUGUAUUUUAGGUACAAAUUGAAGAAUUGGAAAAGUAUGGGGUCAAAACUGCAAUUUUGGCGAAAAUAUGGGUCAAAAGUAAAAAUAUCAAAAUUCAGAAGAAACAAGGCUCGGACCCCGUCCCAGUUUUAGUGCAAAUUAUGGGACCCCCGUCCCAUAACCCGAAGUUGCGCAGUAAAUGAAUUUUAAUUGCACAAGGAAACUGCCUUCUUCCCCAAGUUCUUCACCCUAUAUAAGACCAAGCCAAGCACACAAUUGGGGAUCCAUCUUUGGACGCAAAUUCAAGAGCAUAGAAGAUCAACGAAGAUUCAAGCAUAGUUUUUCUUAUUUAAUUUAUUUCUUUUAUUUUCUUUAUCAUAAGAAUCACGAGUAGCUAAGUCUUUAUUUCUAGGAUUUUAUUUGGAACCCUAUGUGGGAUUUAUGAACCCAAUUCUAUGAUUUUAUGCAAGUUUUAAUUCCGGAUUAUUUCUUCUACUUGUUUUAUUAAGUUCAUGAAACUGGCCACUUUAUGCGCUUUUAUGUUAUUGUUAAUCGCAUGAAUCGGAAGAUCGGGUUAAUAAUUAGAACUGUGGUAGAAGAGCCUUUGUGGUAUUAACAUAGGAAUAUAGUUAAUCUCUUAGGUAGCCAUUAUUGAGAUUUGUGUUUAAUGUUGUGUUCUAGAAUUAAUUGCAUAGGAAUAUAGUAAUUGAAUCUAGAGUAUUAGAAUCGUAAUACACGCGGAAGCGGGUUAUGAUUAUUUUAGCAUCUCAGGUUAAUAAUCCGGGUUAAUUGCUUGCAUAAUUGAAGGAAUUGGGGGAGUAAUAAUCACAUAGGGGGAAGAAUAAAAUCCUAGGCUCGUUUACUUUGAUUAAAUCUUCGUUUUAAUUGCUUUCUUGUUUUUGUCUUUUUAAUUGCUUUAGUUUAAUUUAGUUUAUUAAUCCUUUUUCGACUGUGUAGGGUGGGCUUGAUAAUAAUUGGUAGAAUUUAGCGUCUAGGAUUAGAUAAUUAAAUAUUCCCUGUGGGUUCGAUAUCCGGACUUUUAGUCCACUAUAUUACUUAUACGAUACGUGCACUUGCGUGUAGGUUUUCGCCCAACAACGAGCCAAAGAAAAACCGGAACGUUAACAGAAGAAAGUCGCAAGAAUCAAACGAACUAAGAAGAGAAAAACAAUCAGUUACGAAAACUCCUAUGGGAGCUGAAGAAGCAACAUUCGCCUUGAGAGCGUUGAUCUACACCUUCCACCACAAUCGACCCUUUUCAAUUCACCGGAAAGAAAGUUCAGAAAUUUAGUUCCAAUUUCAACCCUUAAUUGGAACUAACCAAGCAGCUUACCGAUGGAACUUUUAAGGAAAAAAUACAAAUAAAACGAAAAAAAGGAUACACAGUUGUAAUAUUACAAUAACCAGUAAAAAUUUCAGUUUUAUUUAUAAAAUUCUCAUUUUCAAUCUAUCUACUAGUGCCGAUAAUUUAUUUUAUGUCGGUUUUUACUUGAAAAUUAAAAAUAUACGACUAAGAACAUAUUUAGAAUCAACAUAGAAUAUUAAUUGACACGAUAAGAUAGUACGUUGAUAAAUACUUUACAAUUAUGACUUAUUUGGUCAUGGAUUCGAGACUUCGAGUACUCGAACGGAAAUCGAGAAACCAAUGACUAUCCUCAUUAAUGAAGACAAAAACAAAUUAUAGAAUAUUAAAUUUAUAGAAUUUAAUGUAAUAUUGCAAUAUAAAACUAAUAAUAGUGGAUCGAUUAUAAUAUUAAUAGAUUUUAAAAUUAUGGAUUAAAAAACAAUUAUAUUAGUCUAAUAUUAAUUGAAGACAUUAUAUUGGGGGCCCUAUAGAUCAUGGCCCUCUUCCCCUGUCUACUUUUAACAACCUUUACAAGAAAAAGAAAAACCCUUAAAAAAAGAAAAACUCAGAAACUUAUGGGCCAUUAUUUAAUAAGUUAAAAUUGCGAGUACCAAAGCUUUGAUUCUAUAUUUUCUGUAUGGAGCCUAUUUAUUGUCUAUGCACUUCUAUAUUUUAUUUCCAAUAUUUUAUUAUUUGACGUAACAUUAUAAACUUACAUUUUUUUCUCAAUAUUUUAUUAUUUAAUUGUCAAGAUAAAAUUAAUUAAAAUAAGAUUAUAAUUUUUUGUGACUCAUUGUAUAAUUAAAACUAUGGGAGGUCCAAUACUCAAUUCUUCGUAAACUUAUAUUUUUGUAAUUAUGGGUUGGCCCGAAAAAUAAUUGACUAAUUGAACAUUAAAUAAAACUUGAUUAUUUAAUUAAUUUUAAUAUAGGCAAAAUACAGUUUUAGUCCCUCAUAUUUGUACCGAUUUCACAUUUGGUCCUUAAUGUAAAAAAAACACAUUUGGUCCCUCAUGUUUCAACACUUUUAGUCAUUUCCGUCAAUUUUUCGUUAGAACUAACGGAAUCAGACGUGUCUCUAUCACUGCCUUAACUGACGGAGUAGCAGUAAAUUGACGAAAAAAGACCAAAAGUGUUAAAUUAUUGAAACAUGAGGGACCAAAUGUAUUUUUUUGUGAACAUUGGGGAUCAAAUGUGAAAUCGAUGCAAACUUGAGGGGUGAAAAUUGUACUUUCCCCAAUUUAAUAUAUAAUAUCAAUGAGGAUAUAUAGCUUGAUUAUUGAAAAAUCAUGUCUAGACCAGACAAUGCUUUAAGUCCAAGUUAAAGUUGAGGAUAUUAAAAAAAAAUAUAGCUGAAAUGGCAAAUUUAUAUGCUUAAAUAUUUAAUUAAGCAACAAUCAUUGAAUCACAUUGAAAUUCAUUAUUCCGCAUAAAUGGGUGAUUUAACAACAUUUAAAAUACAAAAAAAAAGAAAAUGACAAUGGAUAAAUUUGUGAUUUGUUCAAAAAAAUAUUCAAUAUAUUUAUACUUAUAAAUAAAUUACAAAGACAUAAAUUGUAUGUACGUAAUUUUCCUAAAGGAUAAAUUUCUAUAUAUUUUCUUACAAAAGAACUCGUAACAACUUAAUUCUUCGUACAAUAGCUUGCAAACCACACAAGAACCCAAUGAGUUUUAUUUAAUUUUGAACUAACUAUUUAAAUUAGUUAUAAAUUGGCAAUUAUCUAAUUCUUUUUUAUGGUGUAUGAUCAUGUGCAAAAACCCAAUGGGUCUCGUGAUUAGAUUCCCUAAUAGACAUACUUGUAAGAUAAUUUAAGUAAAAUAUAAUGUUAAAAAAAUUGCAUGCCAAAAGUCACGUGCCACGCAACAUGUGUUAACAAAUCCAAAUUAUAUUCUCUAACAUUAACCUGCUGUCACGCGACAUCAUGUGAUCCCACGAUUUACUUACAAUUUUUUUAAAAAUAAUAUAUUUUAUAUAUAUGAAAACACAAAACAAUAUCUUUUUUAUGUACUAAAUUUAGACUUCAUUUGAUUACUACGUGCCAUCAAUAAGUCAAAAUGGGCAUCCAUUUAUGAAGACAGACAAAAAAAGGAAUUGAUGCGGUGACGGAGUCGGCAUAGAGCCGAAGGGGGCCAUGGCCCCUAUAAUAAUUCUUAAAUUUCUAUUUUGUAUAUAACUAUUUAGAAAAAUUCUUGUAUAAUUAGUAUUAUCGGCUCUCCUCAUAAAAGUGUUAAUAUACUUUGGUAUUCGCGAACUUAAAAUCCUGAUUGAACGAUAUAUUAAGAUAUAAAAUAACAAGUUUAAUACAAUUAUUAAUGAAAGAACUCUUCUUGGUCAUGUUACUUCUUAAAAUAAUUAAGAGCUGAAGAAUUAAUUUUUUUUUUUUUUUGCAGUAUCCAUUUUACAAUAUACUAUUUCAUAAUUUUAUAAAAUUAAAUUCAAGAUUAAAAUUUAUUUUACAAACAUAUCAACUUCUAAGUUAAUUCAAGAUUAAAAUUUAUUAAAACUACAUAAUUGACAUUGAGAGAGAGAAAAGGAGAGAGAAGCAUACGUUGGAUGUUAGAUAUUUUUUAAAAGGAUAAAUUUCACUUGUUGGAUGUUAGAUAUUUUUUAACAAGAUAAAUUUCACUUUCCCCCUUGUUGGAUGUUAGAUAUUUUUUAACAAGAAUUAUUAUAGGUGUUGGACAAAAAUGGAUAUCUUUAAAUAUAUGGAUGAAAAUAUUCAGCGUUUCAAUUUUUCUUCCUUUCACAUUUGUCAUUGAAAAAUUAACCAUUGAGUUUCUCCUUAAAUAACUUUUGAGUUUCUCCUUAAAUCAAUCUUCUUCUCUUAGAUAAUUCUCUUGCAUAGUUAUAAUUUCACAAACAAAUGCUUAUGUAGAAGAGUUGUUCCAUAUUUCCAGUUAACUGAAAUUAGUUGUGUGAGAUCUGAGAGAGAGAGAUAGAGAGAGAGAGAGAGAGAGAGAGAGAGAGAGAGAGAGAGAGAGAGAGAGAGAGAGAGAGAGAGCAUUGAAAGAGAUGGCUUAUGGUUCCUUAAAAGAAGCUCUCAGAGUAUUCGAUAAAAAGAGGAGCACCAUCAACAUGAAGAUGGUGAAAAGUUUGGAGGCGGAAAUGGUAGAGGCAAUAUACAACUUCGAAGAUGUAAUCGACCCUCAUCUCUCAAAUCAGUUCCAUUCACAAUCUGAAGCAGAAGAAGAGACGGCCGAUCAUCCUCCAUCAAUGGUAUUCUCAGUAGAUGUGCAGGAAAUAAAGCAAGAUGUCGAUUCCUUUAUCGAAACAAUGAACAAGAUGAAGAGGGCCUAUAUCCACGAAUUACACAAUCCCUCACCUGAAGAAGAUGAUGAUGAUGAUUUUGUGGCAUCAAAAACUCAUUUUCGGGGAAAUGAGCCUAUCAUGGUUGGAUUAUCUGAUAUAUUUAUGUCAAUAGAAAAUUGGCUUAAUUCCUCAAAUUCUGAAAGGAUUAUUGUGUCGCUGGUCGGGAUGGCUGGCAUUGGUAAGACUACUCUUUCCAAGAAACUCUUUCAUGAUCCAUUCAUUGUGAGUUGUUAUAGCAGGCUCGUGUUCGUGACCAUAGGCCCUAAAUAUCGUCUAGCGGAUAUCUUGGUGGAUAUUCUAACACAAGUGAAUCCCGACUUUGAUGAAAUAAUGCUUAUGAAAGGAGAAAAAGUAUUAGCUGGAUUGAAAAGGAUGGUUUACGAAAGUUUAAAGUAUUUGAGUUACUUGAUCGUGUUGGAUGAUGUAUGGGAAAUAGACCUCUGUUCUGUGUUGUUGGAGUUAUUUCCAGAUGACAAAAAUGGAAGUCGAGUGUUGGUCACAACUAGGAUGAAAAAAGUAGCUGAUUGUGCUAAGCCUUUGAAUAUUUGCAAAAUACCCUUCCUUGAUAAGAAAGAAAGUUGGGAUCUUCUUCGCGAGAAGGUGUUUGGUGAAGAAGAACCGUGCUCUUAUAGACUUGAGAAAGCUGGAAAGAAGAUUGCCGAGAAUUGUGAAGGUCUUCCUCUUACAAUCAUCACGGUUGCCAAUAUCCUGUCAAAAGUUGACAAGACAAUAGAGUACUGGAACGAGGUAGCGGAUGAUAAACAAAAUUCAGUAUAUAAGGAUGCAUAUGAACAAAUGUCAAAGGUACUAUAUCCAAGCUAUGACUACUUAGAUCAACAUUUAAAAGCAUGUUUUCUCUACAUUGGAGCUUUCCCACAAAAUUAUUUACUAGACCAGUCCCAACUAGCCAACUUGUCGAGUGCUGAAGGAUUUCUUAACUCAGAAUCAGUGCAUUACUAUGAGGAGACCAUGGAUUAUGCAUAUGAUAGCUUUGGAUAUUGUGAUGACCUUUAUGCCACAAAUGUUAUCAUGUUCGACAAUGAAACAUUUGAUUUUUACCUUCAUUCGUCCUUUUGGUACUUGUGUAACAAAGAAGCUGCCAGGACCAAGUUGUUCUAUGCCUUAAAUUGCCAUGGCGAUACUCUACCGGAAGAAGGUAUAGAAAGCCAGCGCCGAUUGUGCAUCCGUAAUAAUAUUCUACUUGCCAUCAAAGAUGUGCACAACUCAAUUGCAUCUGAUUCAAAGGUACGAUCUCUCCUUUGUACCGGUUAUUUUCAUAAAUAUCCAGUACCGCUGUUUUUGGAACAUUUGAGGUUGCUGAGGGUAUUGGAUGCUCUUUCUAUUAGAUUCUAUGAGUUCCCGAUAAAAGUAUUGAAACUAGUUCAAUUAAGAUACCUCGCCCUCCUUUAUAAUGGAAACCUCCCUUCUUCCAUUUCCAAACUCUGGAACCUUCAAUACUUGAUUGUUAUUCAACAUCCAAGGAUAGUAAAAUCUGUUGGGAAUCUAUUGUAUCUGCCUAUUGAGAUAUGGAAUAUGAAUGAAUUGAAGUAUCUUUACACCUGCGGAAGAGACCUACCACAUCCUUGUUGUGAAGGAUCUCUCCUACCAAACCUAUUAAAACUAGGUGGUGUCGGUCCUCAAAGUUGUGCCAAAUCUGUGCUCGAAAAAAUCCCUAAAUUGAAGGCGUUAUCGAUUGAUAUCGAGCUGGCUCCUGAUGCUACAGAGCCCUUGACAUGCUUUGAUCACGUUUCCCAUCUCCAUCAACUACAAGAACUAAGAUGUUACAUUAUGAAUCCUACAUUGAAGACAGAGGUUGUUACCCCACUUGUUCCUCUUUCAGACUUCCCAUUAAGUCUUACAGCGUUAGUUUUGAGUGGCUUAGGAUCUCCGUGGGAAGAAAUGAGAAAUAUUUCUUCAUUGCCAAAUCUUACACAUCUCGAACUGAAAUUCUAUGCUUUUCGAGGCCCAAAAUGGGAGGUUCGUGACAACGAAUUCCAAAGUCUCUUAUAUCUUGAGAUUGAAGACAUCAAUCUGGAGCAAUGGACAUUUCAAAAUUGUCUAUGCCUCCCUGUGAUUCAGGGCCUUCACAUCGCACAUUGCUACAAGUUAAAAGAGAUCCCUCUCACAUUUGGUAAAUCUCUUCUAAGCAUUAAAAUAGUCGAAUGCAACCCUAUGGCUGUGAAAUGUGCAAUCAAGUUAAAAGAGGAGUGGGACGACAAAUAUGCUGGUCGUGAACGUUUGUUAGAACUUGUUGUUCGUUCUUCACUGUAACAAUGGGAACACCAAACCGUGAGUGACUCUACCAUAUCAUUGAUUCUUCAAAAGGUUAGUCGUUAAAUUUUUAUAUCUAUCGAAAAUACUAAUAUUUUAGUCAAUGCCCAUUCAGGUAAAAGGAAUUAAACAACCUUAAAUUUUUUAGUAUUAAAUUUGAAUUAACAUAUAUAUAUUUUUUAUUAUAAUUUCAUCAUACAGUGAAUAUUACCAAAGAUAUACUCAGUAUAUAUGCAUACAUUCUCCUACAAAACAAGAGAAAUAGACAAUAUAGAUAUAUGGUUGAUAACACAUAUAAUAGGAUCAUAUAAGUUGCGUUUGGAUGAAACAGUUUGAAUUUGCUACAACAGAGAUAGAUUUUAUUAUAGAGUAAAUUACGAAAACUCCCUGAACUUAGGCUAAAUAACGAAAAAAACCCACAUAUUCCUAAUUACCAAAAACCCCUGAGGUUUGUUUCCGUCUUACACCAACCCUUUACAGUGUGAGUUUUCACGUAUUUUUUUUAAUUCCAAGAAAUAGACUUUACACAAUUGCACAUAUUUUCUUUUAUUUCUCACCUAUUUAAUAAAAGGUAUAAUAGAUUGUACAAAUUUUCUGUUAAAAAACUCGGUUAACAGUUAAUCAGAAUGGGAUUUCGGUUAUUACGGAUAGGUGGUGGUGUUUUUCGUUAUUUAGCCUAAGUUCAGGGAGGUUUUCGUAAUUUACGCUUUAUUAUAUUACAAAUUAAUUUAUUUGAUUACUGAUUAAUGAAUUUGCUAUUAUGGAUUAAAAAAAAAAAUUAACAUCCGAAAUCAUUGAACAUUCUCCUUUAUUACAGGUGUAUCGUCUCGAGAGCCGUAGGCUGAUUGAUCACGAGAGAAAUUACAUCGACAUUGUUUGCAUCAAGAAAUCGGAGGAACGUACUUUCAGUUUUGAGACGGACAAAUCAAAGCGUGUUUGAAUAUUUUGUUAAUGUUAUUUGGUGUGUUUAAUUUUUCUUGAUUGAUUUUUUAUUACAUCCUCAUCAGUUAUAUGUUGUGAGGUUAAAAUUAAGACUAUUGCGCAAUUAAGAAAGGUGCACGUGUGUCGCACAUAUUGUCGAAUUUACAAAUUUUACUCGUCUCUGCCAAAAAAGGUAAAUCAAAGAUAACUACAUACAUACGAUAACCGAAGUAUAAGGAACAUAUAUGCUAGUUAGUCAUAUUUUCCUAUCGGAAAAAAGCCGUGUUUAGUCUCUUGAUUUCAUAUUUCAAAGAACUUAAAAAAAGCCCUCUGUUUCAUUACUUGAAGUUAGGUGUAAAAUACUCCCCUUUGACAGUUUUCGCGGAGCAAAAUCUCACCUUAGAAAACACAUAGCAAAUGAAAAGAAAAUCGAGGAUUGUUAUAAGCAUAUGCAGCCUCGAAACACAAUAUCAAACAUCAAAUAAAACGAGAAAUGGAGGGUUGCGUAUUUAUGAAAUUCCUCUUAAAAUUCUACAUUUACAUGGAUGGGGGUAUCUUUUCUCUGUCAUGUGCGGUGCACAUGCUGUUUUCCGUCAAACAACCCCACCCCCAACACAACUACUCUCCAUGAAAGCUCUCUAAUGGUGCAUCAACCGUUGCACACAUUCGGGAGCCGUCGUCUACCUGCAAUUGCAAACGUCUGGAUCUUGACGUCGUGAGGGAGGUGCGGUGGUUAUGAUGGCGGCGGCUGUGGUGGAGGUGGUUUUGGAGUCGAUUUAGAUCUAUUUUGUGCUGCCGACUUCCAAGCGACGCCGUUUCGGAGUUCGAGUGCUGGUUGGAGGUGAGGCCGACGAUGCCGUUUCGGGGUAGAAAUCGAGAUUGUUGUUUUCUGAUGACGAAGACGUCGGAGAUGGUGUGAAGCUGGUUGAGUGAACAUUUUUGUUUAUUUUGGAGAAGAUGGCUUUUUUGAAAAGGUCAAGGAUUGAAUUGAAUUUUUUUUUAAUAUAGAAUUUUGGGGUGAAUCUGUAAUUUUUGAAAUUUAUAAUUAGUAGGGCAUUUUGGUCCUUUCGGGUUUAAAAUACACCCAGUCGCACAAUCCGCAUGUGGAGCACACGAUAAGCUGGCAGGGCCCUUGUUGCCUUUGACUAAUUUUCAUACGGCGCUAUUGCUAAUUCUUUUAACAUGAGGAUUUUUUUAGCAAUUUGAAAUUAUACAGGGGUGGUUUUUGCAAAAAAAAAAACAUAAUAGAAUACAACCUGUUCAUUAGAAAAGUUAAUUAAUGGGCGACAUGGAUUAAUAAAUAAAUAUUCCUUUGCACAUGCUUCCAGAGCAAUAACUUCAACAAACAAUGCCUAUGAAGAAAUUUAUUCAAAAAAAAUCAGAUGCUGACAGUGAUUUGUCAAACAGAGAGAGAGAGAGUUGAAAGAUGGCUUAUGGUGCUGUUUCUUCUCUUGAGCUGACAAUUGAGCGCCUUUUGAAUUCAUCACAUCUUCCGAUUGUUCAAAAUUCAUCCCCACAAAUCCUAAAACAUAUGUAUGAGAAUAUUCUUUCCUUAAAAGAAGAUCUGGGAGAAUUCGACAAAUGGAGGAGCACCAUUAACAUGAAGAUGGUAAAAAAAUUGGAGGCGGAAAUGAUAGAUGCUGUAUACAGAUUUGAAGAUGUAAUAGAAUCUCAUGUCUUAAAUCAGUUCCACUCAACACAAUCCGAAGAAGCUGGGAGUGAUCAUCCACCAUUAACGGUAUACUCAGUAGAUGUGGAGGAAAUAAAGCAAGAUGUCGAUUCCUUUAUCGAAACGGUGAACAUUAUGAAGAGGGCCUACAUUCAUGAGUUACGCAACCCUUCUCCCGAAGAAGAUGAUGAUUUUGUCCCGACAAUAACUGAUUUUGGUGGAAAUGAGUCUAACAUGGUUGGAUUGUCCGAUCUAUUUAUGAGAUUCAGAGAUUGGCUUAUUUCCCCACACUCUGAAUUGAUAGUUAUGUCGCUCGAUGGGAUGGCUGGCAUUGGUAAGACUACUCUUGCCAAGAAACUAUUUCAAGAUCCGUUCAUUGCGAGUCAUUAUAGCAGGCUUGUGUUCGUGACAAUAGGCCCUAAAUAUCGAUUAGCGGACAUCUUGGUGGAUAUUCUCACACAAUUGAAUAAUGCUGACAUUGAUGAAAUAAUAUGGCUUACGAAAGGAGAAGAAUUAUUACAUGAGCUGAAAUGGAAGGUGUGCGAAAGUUUAAGUGAAUUGAGAUACUUGAUCGUGUUGGAUGAUGUAUGGUACACGGAUCUCUGUUAUGAGUUCGCCAACGUAUUUCCAGACGACAAAAAUGGAAGUGUAGCAUUACUGACUACUAGGCUAACAGAAGUAAGUAAAUGUGUCCACCCUUUGAAUUCUCACAGACUACCCUUCCUUGAUAAGAAAGAAAGUUGGGAACUUCUUCGUCACAAGGUGUUUGAUGCAAUGCCUUGCCCUCGUGAACUCGAGAAAUCUGGAAAGAAGAUUGCGGAGAAUUGUGAAGGUCUUCCACUUACAAUAGUUACAGUUGCCCACAUCCUUUCCAAAACUGACAAGACUUCGGUGUACUGGAACCAGGUAGCUAAUGAUAAACAAAAUUCGGUUUACAAGGAUGCAUAUGAUCAAAUGUCCAAUGUACUAUAUCCAAGCUAUGACUAUUUACCUCAACAUUUGAAAGCAUGCUUUCUCUACUUAGGAGCUUUCCCACAAGAUUAUAUGGUGUGGAGGCGCCAACUGAUCGACUUGUGGAGUGCUGAAGGAUUUCUUAACCGAAAAUCAACCAUGACUUCAACUGAUUAUACGUUUGCUUAUGUAGGAGCGCUUCUUUCAAAUAAUGUUAUCAUCUACAAUGAAGAAAAGUUUAUAUAUCACCUUCAUUAAUCAUUUUGGUACUUGUGUAACAAAGAAGCUGCCAAGAAUAAGUUUUUCGAUGCAUUCAAUUGUCUUGCCGAUGCUCUACCAAAAGAAGGUAUAAACUACCAGCUGCGCCGAUUGUGCAUCCGAAAUAAUGUUCUACUUGCCAUUGAAGAUGCGCACGAUUCAAUUGCAUCUGCUUCAACGGUACGCUCUCUCCUAUGUACCGGUCCAUAUCAUCAAUAUCCUGUACCAUUUUGUUUGGAACAAUUAAGGUUGCUCAGGGUAUUGGAAGCUCUUUCUAUUAAAUCCUAUGAGUUCCCAAUGGAAGUGUUGAAACUAUUGCAGCUAAGAUACCUCGCCCUCACUUACGAUGGAAACCUCCCUACUUUCAUUUCCAAACUAUUCAACCUUCAGUACUUGAUUGUUCAUCAUCAGUACCGGAUCGUAAAAUCUGUUGGGAAUCCAUAUUAUCUGCCUAUUGAGAUAUGGAAUAUGAAAGAAUUGAAGUCUCUCGAGAUCCGGGGAAGAGACCUACCACAUCCUUGUGAAGGAUCCCUCCUAUCAAACCUCACAACUCUAACUGGUGUCGGUCCUCAAAGUUGUACCAAAGAUGUGCUUGAAAAAAUCCCUAAUCUGAAGGAGUUAACAAUCCAAAUCGAACUAGUUCCGGUUGCUUCUAAGCCCUUCAGUUGCUUUGAUCACAUUUACAAUCUGCAUCAACUACAAGAAUUAGAAUGUGAAAUUACAAAUCCUAUUUUCAAGACUGAGGUUGUUACCCGAUUUGGUCCUCUUUCAGACUUGCCAUCAAGUCUUACAAAGUUAACCUUGAGCGGCUUAGGAUAUCCGUGGGAAGAAAUGAGAAAGAUUUCUUCAUUGCCAAAUCUUACAGACCUGGUAUUGCAAUGCUAUGCCUUUCGAGGCCCGAAGUGGGAGGUUCACGACCACGAAUUCCAAAAGCUUUCACAUUUUCAAAUUGAAGACACCGAUCUGGUGCACUGGAAGUUUGUGACAACAAAUUUCUGCUUCCCUGCUAUUAAGGUUCUUGGCAUCGAACAUUGCUACAAGUUAAAAGAGAUCCCUCUCACAUUCGGUACAUCUCUUGAAAAUAUUUAUUUAGUUGACUGCAACCCUAUGGUUGUGAAUUGUGCAAACAGUUUAAAAGGGGAGUGGGACGACAAAUAUGGCGGUCAUGGACGUCGAUUAUAUGUUAUUGUCCGUUCUUCAUUGUACUGAUGGGAACACCAGAAUAUUGAUUCUUGAAAAGGUUAAUCAUUCAAUUUUUAUUUCAAUCUGAGGAUGAAUCUGUAUCAAAAGGGUUGGAAUUUGAGGUAUAACAGGCCGAUAAGUUCUAUUAUUUUUUUAAAAUAUUUUUUAUUACCAAGGAUCUACUCAAUUGUAUGUAUAUGUAUACAUUCUCCUACAAAACAACUAUAAAUAGACAAUACACAUAUAUGGUUGAUAACACGUGCAUUGGGAUAAUGUAAGUUGCGUUUGGAUGAAACUGUUGAAAUUACCAAAACAAGUGCAUGUGUGUUGCAGGUAUUAUGUUAAUACGAAGCUUGCAUAUUGAGUUAUCGUUAGAUGGUGAAAGAUUUGGUUUUGAGUUUUCUUGUAUUCAUAUAUUGUUCAAGUAAUUCUCAUCUUCAAAUUUCGUGUGUGCAAUACUCGACUCAAUUUCCUUCUCGUCUUGUCUUGUUUGAUGUUCAUCCUAAUAUUUUAGUUAAUAGACAGUUUUUUUUAGUUAGUCGAUUGAGUUGUUUGCUUAGUCGACUAAGGUUUUUUAGUUAGUUGCUAAUUAUUUGAUUUAGCAGAAUGCAACAGCAAGUUAUAUUUUCAUCGGAAAAAAAAGGCGCAAGUCCCGACAAUUUUGAGCAAUAAAUCUUUCUCGACGAAGAGUAAUGGUAGGUGAUCAUUUGUUGAGUCUCUCGAUUUCAUUAUCUGAAAUUAGGCGGAACAGUUUAUUUGGUGGAAACACAUUUCUAUUUUUCCCAUUAUUACCAGGAACAUCCUCAAAACUUUUAAAUAUUUACGGAAAUGACCCCGAAACGUUUCAGACAAGUGUCAUGGUGUUUCGAUUUCCGAAAUGCGAAAACGCGUUUACCGAAGUUUCCGUGCACCAUAGCGUUUCAUUUAUGGGAUUUUAUAAUUUUUGGGAUGAAAUUGUAAGAUUAAAGUGAAAUUGAGGCUGAAUCAAAAAAAGAAGUUAAAAAAGGGUUGAAUGUGUUAUUUUAGAAGGCUCACGUACUCCACACGUGACUUAAUCGGCUCCCAAAUUGGUCUAUAUAUAAAGGGCAAAUUACCAAAACCCCCCUGAGGUAAGCCUAAAUAACGAAAAUCCCCCCCACGUUCUCGUAAUUACGAAAACCCCCCUAAACUAACGGUUGACCGAAUUUUUUUAACCGAAAACGUGUAAUGUCUAUUAUAUCCUUCUGUUAAAUAUGUGAAAAUAAAAGGGCAAAUUACCAAAACCCCCCUGAGGUAAGCCUAAAUAACGAAAAUCCCCCCCACGUUCUCGUAAUUACGAAAACCCCCCUUGACUAACGGUUGACCGAAUUUUUUUAACCGAAAACGUGAAAUGUCUAUUAUAUCCUUCUGUUAAAUAUGUGAAAAUAAAAGGGCAAAUUACCAAAAUCCCCCUAAGGUAAGCCUAAAUAACGAAAAUUCCCCCCACGUUCUCGUAAUUACGAAAACCCCCCUUGACUAACGGUUGACCGAUUUUUAUUUAUUUAUAUAUUUUAAUUGAUUUUAUUUAUCCAGAGGAGUAUUAAACCGAUAUUGUAUAUUAAAUAUAAACGAAAACCCCCACUUACAUGUUGUAUAUUAAAUAUAAAUUAAUCUUUAAAAAACAAAAAAAAAGAAAUAAAAACAAAAAAAAAGAAAUAAAAACAAAAAAAACAAAAAACAAAAAAGGAGAAAAAUAUAUUGAGUCUUCUUCUUCCCUUCGUCCUUCGGAAGAGACGACCCAAUCUCCAGUCCUCCUUCGGAAUCAUUCGACUUGCACAACGAAAUCGAAUACUUCUCUCCAUCAAUCGACACGACUUCAAGCUUUCUCGCCCUUCCCAAUCCGAAAUCCGCAUCGCACAAGUCGAACUUCGGCGAACUGUCCUCAUCCCUACAAAUUUCUCACUAUCGGACAUCCAAUUCUCGACACCUUUCAAAACCUCGUCUUUGUUAUUCACCCUGUUUUUAAUAUCCAAAGCUAUAGCCUCCGCAGCAAUUACAAACCCUUCUUCCCCGACAAGUGUUUUGUGCUUGAUUUUCGCUAUUCCGCCACCCAAGCAAUUGCCGAAGUAAUUCAGUGGCAUCGGCGGAUUAGUUCUCCCUCUAACAUCGACCGUCAAAUUUUCCUCUUAAAUUCGACACCUACCUGUUAUGUCGAAAUUUUUGAAAAGAAUCGACACUUGUGUAUCGAAUUAAAAAUCGACAUUUGUGAGCGGCGAUGGAGGACGUUUUUUCGACGGCAAUAGAGGACAUCUUAGACGGCGGCGAUGGAGGACUUAUUUUCCGGCGGCGAGGCAAGUUUUGUCGGUGUGUGGGCGAGUUCUCGGCGGCAGGCAAGAUCCCGGUGAGGCUUUGAAGCUUGAAGUCAAUCUCGAAUGUGUCGUCUGAUUGUGGUCUUGCGUGAGAGGAAUUGGAUUUUAUUUAUAUAUUUAUAACCUCUCAUUAAAUAAAAUACUUACAAUUACCCCCUAAGGAUAAUUUCGUGUACAAGGGCAAAAUUGCUAUUAUCGGAGGAAUAUUCGGGAGAAUAAAAAAGAUUCUAUCGAGUUUAACACCGUUAGAGCGAUUUAUAAGAUGUCUGCAUACCUCAGGGGGCUUUUCGUAAUUACGAGAACGUGGGGGGAUUUUCGUUAUUCAGACUUACCUCAGGGGGGUUUUGGUAAUUUGCCCAUAUAUAAAUGCACCAUCCGCGAUGAGGGACUAAGACUCAAUCUUCUUGGAUUAAUGUAUCAAACUGCACAUGGAAAAUGUCAAUCGAGUAAACAUAUUACAUAAUUGACCUUGGGAGAGAGAGAAAGAGAGAUAAGCAUACGCUGGAUGUUAGAUAUUUUUUAAAAGGAUAAAUUCCACUUUCCCCCCUUUACUAUGGCUCGAUAUCACUUUGCCCCCUUCUACUCUCAAUUACAUUGAUUUGACCCCCUGUACUUGAAAAGUUGUCUCAAUGUAGCCCUUGCCGUUAGUCUUUAGACAUUUGACUUUAACACCGUUUGAUCUAAGUCUGAAAAUUACAAAAAACCUUACCUCCCAGUUUAAAUAAUAAUUUUUUUUUUUAAAUUUAAUUUUUUUUUUUUAAGUAAAAAUAAAUUGUGGUUGCCGUCGUGGACUAUACUUUCCGUCAAUUUAUUCGUCAGUUAAGUAAUGACGGGCACACGCUUGAUUCCGUUAGUACUAACUAUAAAUUAACAGAAAAGACUAAAAGUGUUGAAUUUUUGAAAUAUGAUGGAUCAAACGUGUAAUCAAUGCAAAGUUAAGAAAUGAAAUUGUAUUUUUCCCAAUAUAAGAAUGAAGCACUUGCUGAACCAAUUAAUCUUUAUCAUUGUCCGAAACAUAAUGCUUAACUUGCAGUGAGGCAAAUGAUUUCAUCAACAGCUUAAUCAUCUCGAGAACUGGUCUGUAUGCAUGUAUAUAAUUAACCGCGCAUUCAAGAAAUGGACUUUGACUAAAUCUCCUUGGAUAGCAACAGUAUAUAAUAAAGAAAAUAAUACAUUAUUACAACCUGUACGUACUUAAUUAACACAAAUUAGUUAAUGGCCAACUUGGAUUAAUUAAUAAAAAAAAUAAUUCAUAUGGUUGACUUUUUUGCACAUCGUAUCCAGAGCAAUAACUUCACAAUCAAAUGCCUAUGAAGAAGACUUGUUUUGUUCCAGACUGAAAAUUGUGUGUGUGUGUGUGUGUGAGAGAGUGAUAAGGAACGCCAAAUUGGAUUCGAAUUGGAAAAUAACUAUUUAAUUCGUAGAAGAGUUAUUGAUGGGCAUCGGUGGAGAUACCGAAAGAAAUUACGGAAAAAUAAGGGUUUUCAACGAACUCAAAUUGUACUUGAGUACGAAACGAACUCUAUCUCAAGUAAAACGGCGCAAGGAACAAAACUCAUGAGCAAUGCUCAUGAAUCACGUCAAAUUUCUGCAAUCCAACGUCGUUUGGACUCCUAAAACUUCGUUUUUGCUAUUUUAGGCAAGUUUUAGAAAAUUAAUAUCAAAUCAUAGAAAAAUCGGAUUAGGAUUCCGUAAAUUGGGUUGUUCCCAAAAUUACGAGAUCUACUAGAAUCAAACUCUAACUCGUUUUUGCCUUUUUUGGUAAUUUUUAGUAUUUUCUUAGUUUAAUUAGGGUUUUCAGUUUUUUAGUAUAAAUAGCUGCCUUAGGUCUUUAUUUUAAGGAGAUUUUUCGAAUUUUAAUAAAAUAUUUAGAGUUUUCUCUAUUUUUCUGGUGGAUUCCAGAGUUUUCGGUGGAUUCCGAAUGUUAUUUUGUUCUAUAGGAUUAAUUCGUAGAAAUUAAUUCUUUACCGUGCUUCCGUUCUGCGUCAGUUGGCAUCAGUAGCGAGGUUUUUCCUGGUUAGAUGGCGAAAGGUGCGAGAUAUGGAGACAACAACUACGUUGGCGAUGACCGCGGGGUUGAGAAACUGCAAAAUCUGCGGUUGGUGCGCGAGGGAUUUGCCCUUGACAACAACAACAGAAGAACUGGAUCUAGCAUGGGUAUUGCCGACGGUGUAGCCCGAGGUGCAUAUGUUAGACACAAUUAUCAUGGAUCUGUUCAACUUCAAUCAAGGUAUGACGAUUAUUCAAAGGUGAGCGACAACUCUGAUUUUGAAGAAAAUCCGCCUAUAAAGAGGCAAAAGGAUCGUGAUAAAUAUCGGGUAAGAGCUGAAAUUCCUUCUUUUAGUGGAAAUUUUCUUGAAGUUGAGGAUUUUAUCGAUUGGGUGUCAGAAGUUGAAAAUUAUUUUGAAUUGAUGGGUAUUUUGCCGAAUAAGAUGGUAAAAUUGGUUAGGUGUGAGUUAAAGGGUUGUGCAGCCGCAUGGUGGGAUGAAAUACAGAGGAAGAGAGCUAGACAAGAAAAAUUUCCAAUCCAAUCAUGGAGGAGGAUGAGAAAAAUGUUGAUGGAUCGUUUUUUACCCCUAGAUUAUGAGCAACGUCUAUUUCAACUAUAUAGUAAUUGUUCGCAAGGGAGUAGAUCUGUUAACAAGUAUACUGCUGAGUUUAUGAGACUAGCAGACUUAAAUAACCUGCAAGAAUCCGAAAGUAUGGAAAUUUCAAGGUACUUGCAAGGAUUGAAUAUUUCAAUCCGUCUUAGGAUGGGGUGGCGCGCAUUCGACUCCCUUGAAGAGGCUGAAGAGUUAGCAUGGAGCGAGGAAUAUUAUCAGAAGCGAAAUAGUUCUUCUAGAAAAAUCAAAGAUGUUCUACCCAUUGCCAAAGUUAAGGAGGUACAAGAUACUUCGUUCGUUAUUCAAGCAUCCGGUUUGGUGGAGGAUCAUGGCGUACGAGUUAACAAAGUUGAAGAAGAAAUUGUUGAUGCAAAAGUUAAAAUUAGCGUAGAUAUGAUUAACGAUGACAUUAACAAAAUCAAGGUGAAAGUCAAUGAAGUUGAAGGGGGAGUCAACGAGGUUGAAGAGAGCAUCAACAAAGUCGAAGAUAUCAUCAACGAGGUAGAAGAGAACGUUAGCAAGGUUGAAGAGGGAGUCGGUGAGUUUCGAGAGGGUGUUAAAAAUAAAUUUGAGGAAGAAUUUGAAGUUGUAAAAUUUGUUCAAGAAGAGGAAGGUGCACGUGAAGAGAAGGAACAAGUGGAUUGCGUUGAGGUAUGUGAUCUAAUUGUAGAUAAUGUUUGCUGUGAAGUUCCUGCAUCGGGGAAAUUGGUGGAGCCAUUGAGAUUUUCGAUUAAGAAGCCAAUUUUUCCAACGCCUCGUUUGGAUGAAGAUUUUGAAAGCGAGAUUUUUGUGCCGGGAAUAUUGGUGGAGCACUUGAAGUUGUUUCGAAAGAAAUAUGCAUCGCUAUAUUUUGAUCAUAGCUCGAGGUCGAGCUCUUUUGAAGAAGAGGAGAUUGAUAAGGAACGCCAAAUUGGAUUCGAAUUGGAAAAUAACUAUUUAAUUCGUAGAAGAGUUAUUGAUGGGCAUCGGUGGAGAUACCGAAAGAAAUUACGGAAAAAUAAGGGUUUUCAACGAACUCAAAUUGUACUUGAGUACGAAACGAACUCUAUCUCAAGUAAAACGGCGCAAGGAACAAAACUCAUGAGCAAAGCUCAUGAAUCACGUCAAAUUUCUGCAAUCCAACGUCGUUUGGACUCCUAAAACUUCGUUUUUGCUAUUUUAGGCAAGUUUUAGAAAAUUAAUAUCAAAUCAUAGAAAAAUCGGAUUAGGAUUCCGUAAAUUGGGUUGUUCCCAAAAUUACGAGAUCUACUAGAAUCAAACUCUAACUCGUUUUUGCCUUUUUUGGUAAUUUUUAGUAUUUUCUUAGUUUAAUUAGGGUUUUCAGUUUUUUAGUAUAAAUAGCUGCCUUAGGUCUUUAUUUUAAGGAGAUUUUUCGAAUUUUAAUAAAAUAUUUAGAGUUUUCUCUAUUUUUCUGGUGGAUUCCAGAGUUUUCGGUGGAUUCCGAAUGUUAUUUUGUUCUAUAGGAUUAAUUCGUAGAAAUUAAUUCUUUACCGUGCUUCCGUUCUGCGUCAGAGAGAGAGAGAGAGAGAGAGAGAGAGAGAGAGAGAGAGAGAGAGAGAGAGAGAGAGAGAGAGAGAGAGAGAGAGAGAGAUGAUCGUCUCGCUCAAUGGGAUGGCGGGCAUUGGUAAGACUACUCUUGCCAAGAAACUCUUUCAAGAUCCAUUCAUUGUGAGUUGUUAUAGCAAGCUCGUGUUCGUGACCAUAGGCCCUAAAUAUCGACUAGCAGAUAUCUUGGUGGAUAUUCUAACACAAGUGAAUCCCGACAUUGAUGAAAUAAUGCUUAUGAAAGGAGAAAAAGGAUUAGCUGGAUUGAAAAGAAUGGUUCAAGAAAGUUUAAAGUAUUUGAGAUACUUGAUCGUGUUGGAUGAUGUAUGGGAAAUAGACCUCUGUUUUGUGUUGUUGGAGUUAUUUCCAGACGACAAAAAUAGAAGUCGAGUGUUGGUCACAACUAGGAUGCAAGAAGUAGCUGAUUGUGCUAAGCCUUUGAAUAUUUGCAAUAUACCCUUCCUUGAUAAGAAAGAAAGUUGGGAUCUUCUUCGCGAGAAGGUGUUUGGUGAAGAAGAACCGUGCUCUUAUAGACUUGAGAAAGCUGGAAAGAAGAUUGCCGAGAAUUGUGAAGGUCUUCCUCUUACAAUCAUCACGGUUGCCAAUAUCCUGUCAAAAGUUGACAAGACAAUAGAGUACUGGAACGAGGUAGCGGAUGAUAAACGAAAUUCAGUAUACAAGGAUGCAUAUGAACAAAUGUCAAAGGUACUAUAUCCAAGCUAUGACUACUUAGAUCAACAUUUAAAAGCAUGUUUUCUCUACAUUGGAGCUUUCCCACAAAUUUUUUUACUAGACGUGUCCCAACUAGCCAACUUGUCGAGUGCUGAAGGAUUUCUUAACUCAGAAUCAGUGCAUUACUAUGAGGAGACCAUGGAUUAUGCAUAUGAUAGCUAUGGAUAUUUUGAUGACCUUUAUGCCACAAAUGUUAUCAUGUUCGACAAUGAAACAUUUGAUUUUUACCUUCAUUCGUCCUUUUGGUACUUGUGUAACAAAGAAGCUGCCAGGACCAAGUUUUUCUAUGCCUUAAAUUGCCAUGGCGAUACUCUACCGGAAGAAGGUAUAGAAAGCCAGCGCCGAUUGUGCAUCCGUAAUAAUGUUCUACUUGCCAUCAAAGAUGUGCACAACUCAAUUGCAUCUGAUUCAAAGGUACGAUCUCUUCUUUGUACAGAUUAUUUUCAUAAAUAUCCAGUACCGCUGUUUUUGGAACAUUUGAGGUUGCUGAGGGUAUUGGAUGCUCGUUCUAUUAGAUUCUAUGAGUUCCCGAUGGAAGUAUUGAAACUAGUUCAAUUAAGAUACCUCGCCCUCCUUUAUAAUGGAAACCUCCCUUCUUCCAUUUCCAAACUCUGGAACCUUCAAAACUUGAUUGUUGUUCGACAUCUAAGGAUAGUAAAAUCUGUUGGGAAUCUAUUGUAUCUGCCUAUUGAGAUAUGGAAUAUGAAUGAAUUGAAGUAUCUUUACACAUGCGGAAGAGACCUACCACAUCCUUGUUGUGAAGGAUCUCUCCUACCAAACCUAUUAAAACUAAGUGGUGUCGGUCCUCAAAGUUGUGCCAAAUCUGUGCUCGAAAAAAUCCCUAAAUUGAAGGCGUUAUCGAUUGAUAUCGAGCUGGCUCCUGAUGCUACAGAGCCCUUGACAUGCUUUGAUCACAUUUCCCAUCUCCAUCAACUACAAGAACUAGGAUGUUACAUUAUGAAUCCUACAUUGAAGACAGAGGUUGUUACCCCACUUGCUCCUCUUUCAGACUUCCCAUCAAGUCUUACAAAGUUAACUUUGAACGGCUUAGGAUAUCAGUGGGAAGAAAUGAGAAAGAUUUCUUCAUUGCCAAAUCUUACUCGUCUCUACCUGGAAUGCUAUGCCUUUCGAGGCCCAAAAUGGGAGGUUCGUGACAACGAAUUCCAAAGUCUCUUACAUCUUGAGUUUGAAGACAUCGAUCUGGAGCAAUGGACAUUUGAAAAUUGUCUAUGCCUCCCUGUGAUUGAGAGCCUUCGCAUCGCACAUUGCUACAAGUUAAAAGAGAUCCCUCUCACAUUUGGUAAAUCUCUUGUACGCAUUCAAGUAGUCGAAUGCAACCCUAUGGCUGUGAAAUGUGCAAUCAAGUUAAAAGAGGAGUGGGACGACAAAUAUGCUAAUCGUGAACGUUUGUUACAACUUGAUGUUCGUUCUUCACUGUAACAAUGGGAACACCAAGCCGUGAGUGACUCUACCAUAUCAUUGAUUCUUCAAAAGGUUAGUCGUUAAAUUUUUAUAUCUAUCGAUCGAAAAUACUAAUAUUUUAGUCAAUGCCCAUUCAGGUAAAAGGAAUUGAACAACCUUCAAUUUUUAGCAUUAGAUUUGAAUUAAUAUAUAUAUAUAUAUAUAUAUAUAUAUAUAUAUAUAUAUAUAUAUAUAUAUAUAUAUAUAUAUAUAUAUAUAUUUUUUUUAUUAUUAUAAUUUCAUCAUACAGUGAAUAUUACCAAAGAAUAGAUAUACUCAGUAUAUAUGCAUACAUUCUCCUACAAAACAAUAGAAAUAGACAAUAUAGAUAUAUGGUUGAUAACACAUAUAUAUAAUAGGAUCAUAUAAGUUGCGUUUGGAUGAAACAGUUUGAAUUUGCUACAACAGAGAUAGAUUUUACUAUAGGGUAAAUUACGAAAACUCCCUGAACUUAGGCUAAAUAACAAAAAAAACCCCACAUAUUCGUAAUUACCAAAAAUCACUGAGGUUUGUUUCCAUCUUACACCAACCUUUUACAGUGUCAGUUUUCACGGAUUUUUUUUAUUCCAAGAAAUAGACUUUACACAAUUUCAGAUAUUUUCUUUUAUUUCUCACCUAUUUAAUGGAAGGUAUUUAAAACUCUAUUAACACUUAAUCAGAUGGGGAUUUCGGUUAUUACGGAUAAGUGGGGGUGUUUUUCGUUAUUCAGUCUAAGUUUAGGGAGAUUUUCGUAAUUUACCCUUUAUUAUAUUACAAAUUAAUUUAUUUGAUUACUGAUCAAUGAAUUUGCUAUUAUGGAUUAAAAAAAAAUUAACAUCCGAAAUCAUUGAACAUUCUCCUUUAUUACAGGUGUAUCGUCUCGAGAGCCGUAGGCUGAUUGAUCGCGAGAGAAAUUACAUCGACAUUGUUUGCAUCAGGAAUCGGAGGAACGUACUUUCAGUUUUGAGACGGACAAAUCAAAGCGUGUUUAAAUAUUUUGUUAAUGUUAUUUGGUGUGUUUAAUUUUUCUUGAUUUAAUUUUUAUAACAUCCUCAUCAGUUAUAUGUUGUGAGGUUAAAAUUAAGACUAUUGCGCAAUUAAGAAAGUGCACGUGUGUCGCACAUAUUGUCGAAUGUACGAGUUUUACCUGUCUCUGCCGGAAACAGGUAAAGCAAAGAUAGUUACAUACAUACGAUAACCGAAGUAUAAAGAACAUAUAUGCAACAGUAAGCCAUAUUUUCUAUCGGAAAAAAGCCAUGUUGAGUCUCUCGAUUUCAUAUUUUAAAGAACUUAAAAAAAUCCCUAUGUUUCAUUACUUGAAGUUAGGUGUAAAAUUCUCCACUUUGACAGUUUUCGCGAAGCAAAAUCUCACCUUAGAAUACACAUAGCAAAUGAAGAGAAAAUCGAGGAACGUUAUAAGCAUAUGCAGCCUCGAAACUCAAUAUUAAACAUCAAAUAAAACGAGCAAUGGGGGGUGUGUUUUGCGUAUUUAUGAAAUUCUACCUUUACGUGAAUGGGGGUAUCUUUCUUUGUUAUGUGCGGUGCACAUGCUAUUCUCCGUCCCUACUAACCGGACAAACGGACGGAGGGACAAAAACAACAUAAAAGUAGCAUGUUUAGGGACGUAAAUUGUAACUUCAUCUUGUUUAUGGACGAAAAUCGAAUAAGUGGUAUAGUAUAUGAACGAAAAGUGUAAUUAUCCCCAGAGAUGUUUUUGAAAGAAUCCCUAGGUUAGAGGUUUUAGCAAUCUAAAUAGAAAUUGCUCCCGACAAUUUUCAACCCUUGAGAUGCUUUUUGUCAUAUUUUUCAUCUCCAUAAACCAAUGCCUCGUUUGUUUGAAAAGAUAAGAUUAGCCAGGAUAAAAUUAAAUAUUCUAAUAAAACCCAAUUGUAUUAUUGGAUAUUGGAAGAUCCAAUAAAAAACAUGCCUAAAAGGCGAGAUAAUGCAUAAUAACAUAAUUUAUGCGGGUCGACCCGGUAAGUUAUUGGGAUAUCAGACAUCAAACAAAGUCCCAUUAUUUAGUUAAGUGUAAAUUACAGCCACCCCCUGAGGUACGGUUAAAUUACGAAAAAACCCCUCUUGUUUGGGUAAUUACAACCACCCAUCAACUAUGAAUUUUUGUACAUGUCCAUCUCUGUGGUGUCAAAUUUAGUGGAAUCUUCUAAAUUAUGUAAUAUUCUCCUGUUUGUAUCUUUUUUAAUAUAUUCGAGUUCCACAUUUUGAAACAAGAUGAUCAUAAGAUGUGUUUCUUGACAUGUAAAUAUCAUAUUGUGGUGCAUCAAAAACUGCAUUUUACAAACUAGAAGAUUUUGUUGAAUUUGACACCAUAAGGAUGAAUGUGCAAGAAGAUUCAUACUUGAUGGGGGUGGUUAUAAUUACCCAAACAAGAGGGAGUUUUUCAUAAUAUAACCAUACUUCAGAGUAUUAGAGUAUAUUAUAUUAUUAGAUAUUAUAGGAUAUUAGAAUUCUAGUAUGAUUCGGUUACCUAGAUUAGUUAGGAUUUAUUUACCUAGUCAAACUCUAUUACCUUGCAAUAUUUCUCUAUAUAUAUUCCAUGUAAUCAACCCAUAACACAAUGGGGGUUUCUAUUCUAUCACGUAUUCUAUUCCUAUAUGGUAUCAGAGCACCAGGUUUUUUAACCUAGCCUAGCCGCCUUCUUCUCCAUGGCGGUGACCACCCAAUUUUCUCUUUCCCCCGGUGGUGGUACUCUAAUAUCUUUCUUUUUCUAUCUUUUCCAUGAACACCACCCAAUUUUCUCCCUCCCCGGUGGUUCAUCUUCUAUCUGCUUCUUCUUUUUCUUCUUCGUAUAUGGUCUAAGACCUAGCCGCCGCUUCUCUUCUUCUCCAUGGCCGGCGAACAACACCCAAUCUUCUCCCCCCUCUCUCAUCUCUUCUAUCUAUCUCGAUAAAAAAAAAAAAAAAAAAAAAAAAAAAAAAAAAAAAAAAAAAAGAAGAAGAAGAAAGGUUGCUUAUUUUUCUAUCACCCGUUAUUAUUAUUAUUAUUAUUUUUUAAAUUUGGCAGAUAUUUCAACAGAGGAAGUCUCUAGUGUUGUGUUUCGCGACUUAUUUUCCAGUCUUCACUUUUGGAGUAUAUUUGUUCCGACUGCGGGAGCGUGUUAGCAAGUGAUUUUCCAGUCUUCACGUUCGUCAAGUUUCGACUGCGGGGGCGUAUUAGAGUAUAUUAUUAGAUAUUAUAGGAUAUUAGAAUUCUAGUAUGAUUCGGUUACCUAGAUUAGUUAGGAUUUAGUUACCUAGUCAAACUUUAUUACCUUGCAAUAUUUCUCUAUAUAUAUUCCAUGUAAUCAACCCAUAACACAAUGGGGGUUUCUAUUCUAUCACGUAUUCUAUUCUUCCUAUACAGAGGUGGUUGUAAUUUACCCUUUAGUUAAUCAUGGCUAUCUCUCGAACCAAACAAGUCCUAAAAGUACUAGAAUGUGUCACUGUGAAUCCCAUAUUGAAGACAGAAGUUGUAGAAAAUCUACGGCAAAUUGCUUUCUUCAAAAGGUUAGUCAUUCAAUUUCUCGCAAAAGCUCACAUUGCAAAUUAAAGAGUAUGUCAAAAUCGAAAAGAAAAACGAGAACGACGGUAUAAGCAUAUGCAGUCUCGGGCCUCUUACACGAGUUGGGAUUGUCCCUCCCAGGUCGACCGACGACCCAUCGGCUGAUUAUAUUAGUUGUUUACUCUAUGUAGUUUGAUUUUCUAUUUUUUUUUUAAGCUGUCUAGCUUAUACAUAAUAAAGAAUAAUACAGUACAACCUGUAAGACAAGUUAAUUAGUGGCCAUCUUGGAUUAAAUAUCAUUAUGGUUGGUUGACUCUUUUGUCACAUCUUUGCAGAGCAAUAAUUUCACAAACAAUGCCUAUGAAGAAGACUUAUUCCAGACUGAAAACUAUGUGAUAUCUUAGAGAGAGAGAGAUGGCUUAUGGAGCUGUUGGUUGUCUUGAGCUGACAACUGAGCGCCUUUUGAAAUCAUCACAUAUUUCGAUUGUUCAAAAUUCAUCCCCACAAAUAAUUAACCUUCUGUACGAUGAGAUUCUUUCCUUAAAAGAAGCUCUCAGAGAAUUCAAUACAAGGAGGAGCACCAUCAACAUGAAGAUGGUCAAAACUUUGGAGGCACAAAUCAUAGAUGUUGUAUACGAAUUCGAAGAUGUAUUUGACUCCCAUCUCGCAAAUCAGUUAUAUUCACAAUCUGAAGAAGAGACCGGUGAUCCUCCAUUAAUGUUAUUCUCAGUAGAUCUUCAAGAAAUAAAGCAAGAUGUCGAUUCCUUUGUCGAAAGGAUGAACAAGAUGAAGAAGGCCUACAUUCAUGAGUUAUGCAACCCCUCGCCAGAAGAAGAUGAUUGUGUGGGCCCGUCAUCAAGGAUUGAUUUUGGUGGAAAUGAUGAUUAUAACAUGGUUGGAUUAUCUGAUAUAUUUACUGAAAUCAAAGAUCUGUCUCGUUGGUCGGGAUGGCGGGCAUUGGUAAGACCACUCUUGCCAAGAAACUCUUUCAAGAUCCAUUCAUUGUAAGUUGUUACACCAGACAUGUAUUCGUAAGUCGUAACCAUAGGCCCUAAAUAUCGACUAGCGGACAUCUUGGUGGAUAUUCUGACACAAUUGAAUAAUCUUGACAUUGAUGAAGUAAUAUUGCUUAUGAAAGGGGCAGAAUUAUUAGUCGAGUUGAAACGAAUGGUGUUCAAAAGUUUAAGGUUUUUGAGAUACUUGAUUGUGCCGGAUGAUUUAUGGGACGUUGAGCUCUAUUUUGACUUGACGGAAUUCUUUCCAGACGACAAUAACGGAAGUCGAGUGCUACUGACGACUAGGACAGAAGAAGUAGGUUAUUGUGCUAGUAUGUGGAGGGAUUACAAUUUACGCUUCUUGGAUAAGAAAGAAAGUUGGGAACUUCUUCGUCACAAGGUGUUUGGUGAAGAAGAACCGUGCUCUUAUGAACUUGAGAAAGCUGGAAAGAAGAUUGCCGAGAAUUGUGAAGGACUUCCUCUUACAAUCAUCACGAUUGCCAAUAUCCUGUCAAAAGCUGACAAGACAAUAGAGUACUGGAACGAGGUAGCGGAUGAUAAACGAAAUUCAGUAUACAAGGAUGCAUAUGAACAAAUGUCAAAGGUACUAUAUCCAAGCUAUGACUACUUAGAACAACAUUUAAAAGCAUUCUUUCUCUACCUUGGAGCUUUCCCAAAAAAUUAUUCGGUGUAUGGAUACCAAAUGGUCAACUUGUGUGGUGCUGAAGGAUUUCUUAACCCAGACCCAAUCGCGACUUUCGAAAAUAAUAGCUAUGGAUACUUGAAUGAGCUUUGUUUUAAAAAUGUUAUCAUGAGCGCCAAAGAAGAACGCGGUUUUCACCUUCAUUCGUCAUUUUGGUACCUGUGUAACAAAGAAGCUCCCAAGAACAAUUUUUACUAUGCCUUGAAUUUUUGUGCUGAUGCUUUACAAGAAGAAGGUAUAAAAUACCAGCGGCGAUUGUGCAUUCGCAAUAGUUUUUCACCCCUUAAGUUUGCACUAAUUCCAUAUUUGGUCCUCCAUGUUCACAAAAAACACAUUUGAUCCUUCAUAUUUCAAUAAUUUAAUAUUUUUGGUCAUUUUCGUCAGUUUACCGUUAGUUCAUCAGUUAAGUUAAUGACGGGCACAUGCUUGAUUCCGUUAAUACUAACAAAAAAAUUGACGAAAAAGACUUAAAGUGUUGAAUUUUUUAAAUAGGAGGGACCAAAUGUGAUUUUUGUGAACAUAAGGGACUAAAUGUGAAAUCAACGCUAAGUUAAGGGAUGAAAAGUGUACUUUUACUUGUAUAAGAAUGAAGCACUUGCUGAACCAAGUAAUCUUAAUUAUUGUCCGAAAAUUAUAUACAUACAGACCAGUUCUCGAGUUUGACUUAAUUAAUCUCCUUGGAUUGUAACAGUAUAUAAUAAAGAGAAUAAUACAAUAUUACAACCUGACGUCCGAUAACUUCGUUCAUAUGGUUGACUCUUUUGCACAUCGUAUCCAGAGCAAUAAACUUCACAAUCAAAUGCCUAUGAAGAAGACUUGUUUUGUUCCAGACUGAAAAUUGUGUGUGUGUGUGUGUGUGUGUGAGAGAGAGAGAGAGAGAGAGAGAGAGAGAGAGAGAGAGAGAGAGAGAGAGAAGCAUUUCAAGAUGGCUUAUGGUGCUGUUGGUUGUCUUGAGCUGACAAUUGAGCGACUUUCGAAAUCAUCACAUAAUUCGAUUAUUCAAAAUUCAUCCCCACAAAUCAUCAAACUUCUGUACAAGGAGAUUCUUUUCUUAAAAGAAGCUCUCAGAGAAUUCGAUAAAAGGAGGAGCACUAUUAGCAUGAAGAUGGUGAAAACACUGGAGGCAGAAAUCAUAGAUGCAAUAUACGAAUUCGAAGAUGUGCUCGAACCCCAUCUCUUGAAUCAGUUCCAUUCACAAUAUGAAGAAGAGUCCGUUCAUUAAUGUUAUACUCAGUAGACAUGCAAGAAAUAAGGCAAGAUGUCGAUUCCUUUAUCGAAAUGGUGAACAAGAUGAAGAGGGCCUACAUUCAUGAGUUACGCAACCCUUCCCCCGAACAAGAAGAAGAAGAAGAAGAAGACUGGGAUGAUUGUGUGGAUUUUGGUGGAAACGAGUCUUAUAACACGGUUGAAUCAUCUCAUCUAUUUAUGAGAAUCAAGGAUCGGCUUGUAAAUUCCUUUUUCGAAACAGUGAACAAGAUGAUCAAGAAGCCCUACACUCGCGAGAUACGCAGCCCUUUAUAUCUAUUUACGAGAAUCAAAGACCGGCUUAAUUCCUCACAAUCUGAAGGGAUGAGUGUGUCUCUCGUCGGGAUGGCGGGCAUCGGUAAGACUACUCUUGCCAAGAAAGUCUUUCAAGAUCCAUUCAUUGUGAGUCGUUUCAGCCUACGUGUGUUUGUGUCCAUAGGCCCGAAAUAUCGAUUACAUGAUAUCUUGUUAGAUAUUCUAAGGCAAUUGGAUCCUGUAUAUAAUGAAUUAAGGCUUCCAACAGAUACAUUAUUAGCCAAGAUCAAAUGGGUGCUGCUGUCAUAUUUAAGAGAUUUAAGAUUUCUGAUUGUAUUGGAUGAUGUAUGGGAUGCAGAGCUCUGUUCUCAGUUGUAACUAGGCUAUGCGAAGUAGCUGUGUGUGCUCACCCUUUGAAUUCUUUCAAAAUACCAUUCCUUGAUAGAAAGAAAGUUGGGAUCUUCUUCGUGAGAAAAUAUUCGGUGAACAAGAGUCGUCAUUCUCUUAUGGAGCACCAGCGCCGAUUGUGCAUUCGAAAUAGUAUUCUAUUUGCUAUUGAAGAUGUGCACAACUCAAUUGCAUCUGCGUCAACUGUACGCUCUCUCUUAUGUACUGGUCCAUUUCAUCAAUAUCCAGUGCCAUUACCUUUGGAACAUUUAAGGUUGCUCAGGGUAUUGGAAGCUCGAAUCAGACUGUAUGAGUUCCCAUUGGAUGUGGUGCAACUAUUUCAACUAAGAUACCUUGUCCUCACUUAUGAUGGAGACCUCCCUCCUUCUAUUUCCAAACUUUCGAACCUUCAGCAGUUGAUUGUUGGUCGAUACUGCAUCGUAAAUUAUGUUGACAAUGUAGUGUAUCUGCCUAUUGAGAUAUGGAAUAUGAAAGAAUUGGAGUAUCUACAGUGUGUGGAAAGAGACCUACCACAUCCAUGUGAAGGAUCUCUCCUACCAAAACUCUUACAACUUAUUGGUGUUGUACGAAAGACGUGCUUGAAAAAAUCCCGAAUCUGAAGGAUUUAGGAAUUCAAAUCGUACUAUCUCUUGAGAGUCUUUGAUCACAUUUCCAAUCUCCAUCAACUACAAACACUGCAAUGUGACAUUGUGAAUCCUAUAUGGAAGACAAAGGUUGUAACUGCCCCACUUGCUCCUCUUUCCGACUUGCCAUCAAGUCUUACAAAGUUAAUAUUGAAAGGCUCGGGAUAUCCAUGGGAAGAAAUGAGAAAGAUUUCUUCAUUGACAAAGCUUAAGUAUCUGACAUUGAGUCUUUACGCCUUUCGAGGCCCAAAGUGGAAGGUUCAUGACUGUGAAUUCCAAAGUUUUGAAUUUCUUCACAUUGAAGACGCUGAUCGGGUGCAAUGGAAGUUUGUGUCAACGAAUUUGUGCCUCCCUGCGAUUAAGUACUUUCGCAUCGUACAUUGCUACAAGUUAAAAGAUAUCCCUCUUAAGUUUGGUACAUCUCUUCUAAACAUUCGAGUAGUCAACUGCAACCCUAUGGCGAUGAAUUGGGCAACAAAGUUAAAGGAGUGGGACGACAACUAUGGCGAUGGUAAACGUUCAUUAACUGUUGAUAUUCGUUCUUCAUUGUAAUGAAAUGAUCGGAACACCAAGCCAUAACUCUACCAUGAUAUUGAUUCUUCAAAAGGUUAGUCAUUAAAUUUUUUAUUUCUAUCAAAAGUUUAGAAUUUGAGGUCUAUAAGACUGAUACAUUUGAAUUUAAUUUUUAUUUAUUUAUAAUUUCGUCAUACAGUGAAUAUUAUUAAUAAUAUACUCAAAAUAUAUGUAUAUAUUCUACUACAAAACAGCUAUAAAUAGCCAAUAGAUAUAUAUGGUUGAUAACACAUGGGUACUUUUUACAGUUUACUCUAAUAUAAGUUGCAUUUGGAUGAAACUGUUUGAAUUGUGAGGAGAGAAUUUGAAGGAAAGCUAGUAUGAAAUUGAGAUGGAUUUGAAAUUCACUACUGUAAUGGUUUCUUCCUUUUUUUUGUUACAAAAUUACCCUUUGGCCAAUAGUUUAUUUGAAGGAUGAUAUGGUAAAUGAUCAACUAUUUUUUAAACAAAUAAUUCGUCAUUCUUUUGAACGUGUAGGAUGUUUUGUAACCGAAAUUUCCAUCAAUUAAUCCUUUGCAUUAAUAUCAAUAAACUAGCAAUUUUAGAGGAAAAAAAACCUCUCAUGCACAUAAUAAUAAUAAUAAUAAUAAUAAUAAUAAUAAUAAUAAUAAUAAUAAUAAUAAUAAUAAUAAUAAUAAUAAUAAUAAUAUUAUUAUUAUUAUUAUUAUUAUUAUUAUUAUUAUUAUUAUUAUUAUUAUUAUUAUUAUUAUUAUUAUUAUUAUUAUUAUUAUUAUUAUUAUUAUUAUUAUUAUUAUUAUUAUUAUUAUUAUUAUUAUUAUUAUUAUUAUUAUUAUUAUUAUUAUUAUUAUUAUUAUUAUUAUUAUUAUUAUUAUUAUUAUUAUUAUUAUUAUUAUUAUUAUUAUUAUUAUUAUUAUUAUUUAAAUAAUUUAAGCAGACAUUUCAUCAUUAUUUUGUUCGUUUUGUAACAUACAUUUUCAUCCAUCCUUUGCAUUAAUAUAAUUAAUCUAGCAAUUGAACUAAAAAUUUCACACAAAACAAAAAAGAAAGAAAAGAACAAAAAGAAAACCUCACAUACCAAAUGAUCCCAAACUAGUCAACUAUUAAUAAGAAAAGGGAAUACACUUUGCACCCCUGAAGCAUAAACUAUGUAACACUUCCCCUUAAAAUGUCAUUUGUAUUACUUACUCACCUCAACAUUAAUUAUUUUAUAUUUUAAAAAUUAGAACAUAAUAAACAUAACAACUAAUAUUUAUGGGAUCAUAUAAAAUUGAAAACAACUAAAAUUAAAUUAUUGGAGAGAAAUUAAAAAGUAACAUAUAUUGUAUAAUAAUGAAUGAAAAUAUAUUUUUAAGAAAUUAAAGAACUAAAAUAAAUUUAAAUACUUCAGAUUACUAUUGGCUAAGUAUUGAUUUCUUAAAAUUUAUCGAUAAGAAUAUAUUCGAUUAAUUGGUCCAACAACAAUCAGAUGUUAUUUAUUAAAUAUAUACCCAAUGCAAGAUAAUAUUUUAAAAUUUUGAAAUACUGCCUUUUUCCAUAUAUAUAUUUUAGUUGUAUAAUUUAAUUAUUCUUUGAAUUAUUUGUUUCAAUAAUAGAGAAAUUUUAAAGUAUUAGAAUUUAAAAUACAAAUUAAAUUGUGUUUGAGGGGGUAAGUGUUACAUAAGAGCAUCUCCAACCGGUUUCACCAUUUUUUCACCAAAUCCUAUUUAUGGUGGUGAAAAAAUGGGUUCAUCUCCUACCGGUAGCACACCAUUUUACUCUUCCACCAUUUUUAGUGGAAAAAUGGUGGUUUUGGUCUUCAAUGGGUAUCACCAAAAUUUAGACCAAAUAUUAAAAUAAUAAUAUUUCACCAUUUCACCACUUAUAGGAAAUGGAAUUUGGUUUGGUCUCCAAUGGCAUUUCACCAUAUAUACCCCAAAACUAUAAAUCUAAUGUUAAUCGUAAUUUUAUAAUAUUUUAUUUCCUAAAUAUUAAUUAUAGAACCAAUACUAAGUAAUAAAUUUUCUCAACUAAAUAAUUUAAAAAUUAUGUUAUUAAUCUUAAAAAAAUGUCCAAACAUGAAAUAACAUGAACUCAAAUUAUUUUAAAUAUAAUAAAAUUAUACAUAAACAAUAAUCUCAUAAAUUAUUGCAUAAAUAAAAUAUUACAACAUAAAUCAAUUUGAAAUCAUAAAAAAAAUCUCAUUCACCAUUAUUAUCAUCAUCAUCACCAUCAUAAUCUUCAACAUCACCGAUUUGAGCACGUUUAUCCCACAAGUGUGCUUUUCCUUGAUUUAUCAGAUUUCGAUGUCGACCAAGAAAACUAACAUAUGCCGUAUUAUUAAAAUCUCUCAAAAGCUCAACAGAAAUGAACUAAUAAACAUUGAUACCAACAAAAUAAACAAAUUAAUUAAAAAUAAGCAUAUUUAUAUUUUUAGAGUUAAUGUUUUGUUAAUAAUAACAAAUGUAUUUAUAUUUUAAAAACUAAUUUAAUAAUUAAUACCAAUGUAUUUACGAUAAUUAUGCUAAUAAGUUGGUAAUCGGGUGCAAUUAGUUAAAAUCGUCAUUUUAUAUGGUACUAAUAAAAUGGUGUUAAUUACGACAAAUCCUAUUUUCACCUCUAUAUUUGGUAGGAAAAAUAGGAUUUGGUGGAAAAAAUAGGAAAAUGGUGGACCGGUGGGAGAUGAAAAUUUCUUCACCAAAAAAUUUGGUGGAAAAAUAGGAUUUGAGUAUUUGGUGAUAUGGGGGUUGACCACGGUGGGAGGCUAAAACCAAAUCUCUAUAAUUUUAGGUGUAAUGGUAAUAUAGGAAUUUCGGGUGGGAGGCUAAAAACACCUAAAUAAGAUGAAAAAAUGGCGUUAUGGUGUCCGGUCGGAGAUGUAAAAUGUAUUUAACCCAUAAGAAAAUAAAUACCUUGAUUGUGCGUUUUGUAACAGACUUGAUAAUAAUAACUGAUGCAAAGCUUUUAAUGCACAUUCAAUCCCAUUAUCUUGCAUGUGGAAAAAAACGGUCGAAACGAAAAUGCAUCUCCCUAAAAGGUGUGAAUGUUGGAGAAGAUGGUGAGAUUUAGCACCCAAUUAGUAGCAACAACAAAAGGUUCAGAGGUUACUUUUUUGUCUUCUUACAAAAUAGGAGUUUUUUGAAUUGGAAGCAUGUAAAUCUAAUUUUUUAUUUGUCGGAUUAUCUGUUCUUGGUAUGUUGUAAUUAAGAUUUUGGGUUUUUUUUUUUCUUUCCUCCAUGGUAUUGAGAAUUGGGUUUUGGUGCACGGGAAAAUUGUAGAUUAUUUCUUUUGUUGAUCUAUGUAUUCGUUCAAUUUGACUAUCAAUCUAAUUUAUUUAUUUAUUUAUUUUGCUUUGAAUUUCAGUUGUGCAACAUGAAAUUAGAAUAUGCUAUUGGUUGAGCAAGAUGCAUGAUAUAAUUAAUGGAAAUGGCCUUUUUCUCAAAAAAUGCAUGAUCAUUCAAGGUAAUAACUAAAUUUCCCUUUUUCAUAAGCUAUUAAUAUUCGUAAUUUUUUUUCUUGCAUUUUUAGAUCUCCAUCUUUCAUCUUAAAAAUCAAUUGAAUCGUAUAAAAUAAAACUAAAUCGAAGAAAUAGAUAGAAUUAUAUCAAAUCACAUUUAUUUUAAGGUAGAUACAUUUUGAAUCCUAGAAAUCAACUGAAUCGUAAAAUUCCUGUAAAAUCGUACUAAAUAAUAAAAAAUCGUAGAGUUAUAUCAAGUCGAAUUUGUUUUAAGAUUCUAAUCAAAAAGUUCAAAAAUACAAAUGAAUCGUUUUAUUAUAAAUAGUAAAUAGUAAGAGUUUGUAAUUUUCUUAGAAAGUUGUGUUGUAAACAAUAGGGGUACUAGGUUAUUAAAGAGGUAUGUUAUGGGAGAAUGAAUAUCUUAUCAAAGAAAUUCAUCAACAACUAAAGGAUAAUUGGAGGCUAAUUCACAUUUUCAGAAAGAAAACAUGGUAGCAGAUGGCUUAGCAAUGGAUUGAUGAUCUAAGGAUGCCAUAUACCUCCAAAGUUUCAACAAUUUGACGGCAAAGGCAACCCCAAGCAGCAUGUGGCACACUUCGUCGAGACUUGCAAUGAUGCCGGGACGUACGGAGAUCACCUCGUCAAGCAAUUCGUCCGAUCGCUCAAGGACAACGCGUUUGAUUGGUACAUUGAUUUGGGGGCAAACUCCAUUGAUAGUUGGAAGCACUUGGAGGAAGAAUUUCUCAACCGCUUUUACAGCACUCGAAGAACAGUCACCAUGAUUGAGCUCACCAGUUCCCGCCAAUGUAAGAAGGAACCUGUCAUCCACUACAUCAACCGUUGGAGAAAUUUGAGUCUUAAUUGCAAGGAUCGACUGCCCGAGACAUCAGCUAUUGAGCUGUGCAUCCAAGUAAUGCAAUGGGGACUCCGAUAUAUCCUUCAAGGAAUUCAACCUAAAAGUUUUGAAGAGUUGGCCACUCGAGCACAUGAUAUGGAAUUGAGCAUAACUGCAAAUGAAGUCGAAGAACCUUCAUUCCAAAAGUCGUAUCAGCUCAAAGAAGAACAUGUUGAAGAAGAACAAGAAGAUCAUGAGGAUGGGGGCAAGUCUUUUGAAGAAACAACAUCCUAUGCAAUGUGACAAGUCAAAUCAAAUGAAACACUCCUUGACACGAGUUUAAAAGGUCCACAUCUUCAAAUCAAUUGAAAUACUCCUUGACACGAGUUUAAAAGUUCUACAUGUCCAAAUAAAACGAAGCACUCCUUGACAUGAGUUUAAAAGGUCUACAUGUCCAAAUUAAAUGAAACACUCAUUGACACGAGUUUAAAAGGUCUACAUGUCCGAAUCAAAUGACAUACUCAUUGACACGAGUUUAAAAAGUCUACAGGUCCAAAUAAAAUACUCCUUGACACGAGUUUAAAAGGUCUACGAGUUCAAAUCAAGUCAAGGCUCCUCAAUAUGAGCAUAAACUAUCUAUAUAUCCAAAUCAAAUCAAAGCUCCUCGAUAUGAGCAUAAACUAUCUAUAUAUCCAAAUCAAGUAAAGGCUCCUUGAUACGAGCAUAAACUAUCUAUAUAUCCAAGUCAAGUCAAGGCUCCUCGAUACGAGCAUAAAUUUGUUGGAAUAAACUUGAAUAAAUCCCAUGGAACCGUCAUGCCGAAUCAUCAAGAAUAUUGUGCAUAAACUUAAAUCGGAAGCGUACCUUACUCCGGUGGAAUUGAUAUGAAACGAUCAUGGAUCUUCCAGAUCAUCAUGUACAUCCGAACCCGAGAACCCUUUAGACUUCUCUUUGUUUUCUUUAUGUCGAUGGAAUACAUAGAGAAUGGAAUUCGUACAUGUGACCCGGGGACCAUGACCAAUAUAUAUAGAUAACCUAAUGGGCUAUCUUGUGUAAUUUUAUUUUAGCCCAUCACUAUAAUAAAAUUACCCUAAUGUCUCUACACAUUAAAGGCCCACACCCUAUUAGACACAUUAAAGCCCAAUCCAAAUAAACUUUAGUCGAUCACUUUAACGGGCUUAACUUUACGUGACAGUCUUGCAACACAUAAUAUUUCACAUAUAAGUCCAACGUUGGAAUAAUGUUCCAACAAUCUCCCACUUGGACUAUAUGUGUAACUUUAUAAUUAUAGGUUGCAUAAAUAAAUUUUGAGCUCAACUUUGCUGUCAUUACUGAAGUGUGUCUAUAACCAAUCUCGUCCAUCAAUCAUGCUAACACUGAAUCAAAGGGGCCUUCGUUCACAUUAGUCGUAACGGGACCCAACAAUGGUCACAAUAUCAACACAAUUGAAUGACAUAGAUUAUGAUGUGGAUGUGUAGCAUGGAAAUGUCAUGCAAUGUGACCUUAACAUACCUAUUCCCAAUUAGUCCUCCUUAACGAGAUCAAACCUUAACAAAUCAGAGUGUGAAUAAACCAAAACCUUAUUUCUGCAGAAAUUAUCCUAAGAGUAUCCUUAAUCCGAAUUAACCCAAAAAUUAUGUCUACCCCAAAAGAACACAUUUAUUAUAAACUCCCACUAAAACCGAAUAUCCUUAAUUAAUAUGACACCCAUACGAGCAAUAUGCUCAUGAGACCUUUUGGGUGACAUCCUUAGUGUGCACACAUAAUGGAGUUUAUAUCGACGUAUUCUAUAGACACCUUUCCACUCUGUAUAUUAUAAAAUAAGAUGCUUUUAUAAACUGAUUACCGUAGUUAAAAAAGAGUUUUGGGUGUUGGCUAAACACUCGUACUUAAAUUCUCUUUUAAUUAGGUAUACAUUAAAUGGAUCUAUAAUGUACAAGCAUCAUACAAACUCGAAAUCAAAAAACCAAAUGAUCUCCCAAAUGAACUGAUUUCGAUAAAUGAGCAUAAAUGACCUUAUGUUCUCUAUAAUUACUGUAUAAUCCUUUUGUUUCUAUUCAAAGAUCCACUUUAAAGAAUUAUUUAAAUAUCUGCCUAACUUUAUGUACGAUUUAGCCGAAUGCGUACAUACCGAAGUGUGCAUAUAAUUUCCCAAAGCUGACAGCAAGGGAACCUUUUGCAUUCUUCCUUACCGUAAGAUCUUUAUUGGGCAUUGAAUGAGAUGUGCAGGAUUAUCUCCCACGUAUCACAUGGUAUAUACAAACAUUAACUUUAUUUACCUAAAACUCUAAAAUAGAGUCCGUAUUGAGUGAAACUCUAGGUGAUUAGACUUUGUUUAUAACUUUUUCAACAUUGUCUAUUGAAAUUCAAACGGUCUCAAACAUACAUUUGUGACCAAAUGAUUUCACACUUUUGACAAUUGAUAAGAUCCCAAAUGUCAUUAUCAUCUUAAGUUUAACUCAGUUUAAUAUUGUAUUCUCUUAAGGUUGUUGAGUUUAUCUUUAAGGAGCAAUUUCCUUUAUGUGGGAGAAGACAGUAUUUUUUAUUAUUGUCUAUAGCAACAAAAUGAGAAAAAUAAAUUCUCUCUUUCAUACAAUAAUGAGUAUAACCCUUCCCCCCCUUAAACUCAAUAUCCUUAAGAGAUCUUAUACAUCCCGUCUUUAACCAUAUGUUGCAGUCUUUAGUGCUUCUCUUAAGAUUAGAAGCAAAACCUUACUUGUCAUUUGACAUACUUUGGAGACUCAUAUCUUUAAAUAACAGAUAAAGCGGACAUGAUUCUGUUACUUUUGGAAAAUCUAUUAUGAUGUCUCUACUGCAACAAUGUGUCAUUCUAUGGGAUAGUAGUUAACUGAGUACUUUUAGUCUUUUCUCGUUUCUGUCAUUUUAUUCCUACACAUAGUCAAAUAAAAGCUGACAAAGAAUUCAUUUAUCCUUCAGAUUUUGAAACAAACCUUAUGUUGACUAUAGAUGUAGAAAGAAAAAUCAAACCAUAUGCACUUUAAAGUUAAUAAAUCGUAACUUUAGUGCUUAAGCCGAAAGUGAGAUAAAACUAAUACCGAAUGUACUCCUUUAUAUUUCUUUUCUUUUAUUAAUAAUGAAACAAGAUUAGUCAAAACUAUACUUGAUUCAAACUUGUCAUUUUAAUAAUAAAACGUAUCAAAAGUGCCUUAAGAAAUAUUCCAGUACUUGCCCUAUCAAUCUUGAUGCCCCUAAAGAUUUCUUAAAUAGUGCUCCAAUUGAUCUUAAUACUUAUAAUUAGAACGAUCAUAUUCUUUAAGUCCCUUUUACCUUAACCUUAAGGAAACUUUUAAUUCCGAAGUAACUAGUUGGUCGUUCUAUUUAAAAGGUAAAAUCAAGAUCUAUGCACCCUAAAUAAUAAGUAAAUUGUGCUAUAAAGCACAAGAACCAAAAUUAACAUUGACAGAUAACGCAGAAGCGGAAGCAUGAACUAAAUAGAGAACAUAAACAAGAAGACAUGCUCACAACUACUAUUAUGUCAUAAAAAUAUCAAAUAAAAUCUAUGUAUGUAUGACAUAAUUAAACAUAAUUGGGUUCAUUUAUCAUAAAAUACCUAGCCCAAUGUUAACAUGACGUUAUGGACUACUCGUUAACUUUUAAGUGGCAACUUUUUAUAAAUAAAUAUUGACGGUAAACUAUCGUGUAAAACAAUAAAUCUACCUUAGGGCCAAUUUACAGUUCACAUGAAAUUCUAAUAACCGUCACAUAUUUAUUAUAUAUCAACCACAAAUUCAAAUAAAGGUAUAUUCCAUCUCAAGAUAUCGGGCACUCCAUUAAUAACUUAUCUUUGGACAAUGAUAUUAACUUGUAAGUGAUAUCUUGGUGUAGUAAUCAAACACUGACAAUAAGAGCACAUCGAAUAAUAAUUCUACCUUAGGGCCAAACUAUUAUUCACAUGCAAAACACCAAAUAAUCGCCACGCGUUUACCACCACAAUGUGCACAUGCAAUUCUGCAAAGUAUUGGCCUUCCUUAGGGCCGACACAAUACCCACAUUAUUACAUGCACAAAACCUUUUGUAUUUUAAAAUAAAUUAAGUUUCACAGGAGAGCUCACUUAGGCGAGAUGCCGCUUCUCUUAAUUCAUAUCAAAAUACAUAAACCAAACCAAUAUUUGAAUUUUAACUGGAUUUAAGCCUUUAGACUUUCUCAAACAAUCUUUAGUCAGAGGCUUAAUUAAAUUACCUUAUGAACCCAAAUUUCACGUUAUUUAGAUUUAAAGUCAAAAUAAAGUCGACUAGAAAUCUUCACUUUAUAACCCAAAGAUGAGCCUAAACCAUAAAUCAUAAAAAUUCAUAUUUAUUUGAAUUUGAGCUUAAAGUACAAAAAUGAGCUCACAAAUUCAACCUUAUUAGAUUUAAAGCCAACAAUAAAUUUCGGACAAAUAAAUUCAAAUUCUUAUGAAUUUUCACAAUACAAUGAAGACUCAAAUUUAUAAAAAAGUCACGAGUCUACGUGCCAAAUAUCGAUUGGGUCAAAGCUUAUUGAGUUAUACAUGAUAACCCAUACAUAUAUUGACAAACAACCAUUACUUUAAUGAGUCAAAACCUAUUGAAUUAUAAUAAUUCAUAUCCAUAAUUUGACUAUUUAAUCCAAAUUUCAAUCCAAAAAAAAGACCCGAACUUUAGAAAUAUGAAAAUUCCCCAAAAUAAAAUGCCUCAGGAAACUAAAUUGAAAUUCAAACUGAAUCUCACUUUAUUGACCAAACAAGUUCUUAAAGAGAAUUAAAAAAUAAUUCACUUAUUCGUUUGAUUCUUCACAAUAACUUUAAUUUCAAGUGGCCCCAAAACCUUUUGUAAAAAACUUAAAAUCAAUUUUCCAUUCCUUAAAAAAUUGCAUUUGCCCCAAAUUCAGAAAAGCCAAAAAAAAACUUGAAGGACUGAAUAGAAAUUUUGAAAGAAAAGCUUUUGAGUGAAAAGGGACCUAAGAUUCAGAAAUACUUAUAUUGGGGGUUAAAAUAUAUUUUCUGAAUGUAAAUCACAGUUUUGAGAGAAACUUUAAAGCUGGGGACUGAAAUGCACUUUUCGGAAGCUUUAGGCCCAAAAUCAGAUUUUCAUUUAUUACAAAUCACCCCGGCCCAAAAUCAGGAAUAACUUAAAUUUGGAGACCAAAUUAAAAUUUCAGAGAAUUUCAAUUACAACCUCAGGGGGCCAAAUUUUAAUUUCAUAAACCAUAAAUUCCUUGACCUAAUCCAAAUCCACAAAGCGGCCGUGCAAAUUAGCAGAACAUAAAUGGGGGACUUAAUAGCAACUUUAAUGAACCUUAACGUGGUAAAUUGCAAUUUCGCAAAAACUUAAUCAACCUAAUUUUGCUUCUUCAGCAAACAAACCGCCGUCACACACCUUCUGCCAUCAAAACCGCCGCUAGACCACCAUAUCACCCCGUCUCGCCUGAACUAUUGCCGGAAGAGGAAAAUUACUGUUGUGACCUCGCAUCAUCGCGUAUCUAGAACCCGUCGCGAAGAGGAGCGCGGUUACUAUCCCCUCCGUCGGCGUCAUAGCAGGGCUGCAGUAUGUGGGUUUGAUGGUGGUGGGCGGCGUGGCCAUAUAACAUAUACCAGUUGGUUGCCGCCCCUUAUUGCGAGGUGUUGAGUUUUGACAGAAAAAAAAAACUAAUCGACCGCCGCACCAGUCCUUGAUCCUUAAUUUUCAGAUUUGAUUCCUUUAACCUUAAUUCUUAUUCUUAAUGAAUGAAUCCUUAAAACUUUAAUCCGAAUUUUCAAAUUCAGGCAACAAUUGUGCAAUUCACUUAAUAUGGAUAAAAUAUCAUAUAUAAUCAUGAAACCCUAAUUCAGAAAAGCUACUACCUAAUACAAGGCAACAGGUUUCAUAAUAUUAAUAUAAACAUAUCUAAUUCGAGAUUAAAACCUAAUUGCAGAACGUACUGAAUAUCAUAUAAAUAUCUGGCCGAAACUUUGAAAAUUAAAUUCAUGAAAAACAUAGAUUUCUCGUAAUAACAACUUGACGAGAAUUGUUAAAAUUCUCGAUGAUUCAAAACAUGGUGGCUCUGAUACCACUUGUUGGAAUAAACUUGAAUAAAUCCCAUGGAACCGUCAUGCCGAAUCAUCAAGAAUAUUGUGCAUAAACUUAAAUCGGAAGCGUACCUUACUCCGGUGGAAUUGAUAUGAAACGAUCAUGGAUCUUCCAGAUCAUCAUGUACAUCCGAACCCGAGAACCCUUUAGACUUCUCUUUGUUUUCUUUAUGUCGAUGGAAUACAUAGAGAAUGGAAUUCGUACAUGUGACCCGGGGACCAUGACCAAUAUAUAUAGAUAACCUAAUGGGCUAUCUUGUGUAAUUUUAUUUUAGCCCAUCACUAUAAUAAAAUUACCCUAAUGUCUCUACACAUUAAAGGCCCACACCCUAUUAGACACAUUAAAGCCCAAUCCAAAUAAACUUUAGUCGAUCACUUUAACGGGCUUAACUUUACGUGACAGUCUUGCAACACAUAAUAUUUCACAUAUAAGUCCAACGUUGGAAUAAUGUUCCAACAAAAUUAUCUAUAUAUCCAAAUCAAAUCAAGGCUCUUGAUACGAGCAUAAACUAUCUAUAUAUCCAAAUAAAGUCAAGGCUCCUCGAUACGAGCAUAAACUAUCUAUAUAUCGAAAUCAAGUCAAGGCUCCUUGAUACGAGCGUAAACUAUCUACAAAUUCAAGUCAAAUGCUCCUUCAGCACGAGCUUAAACUGCAAAUGUUUCUCCUUGUCCACAUGAGUGUAAACUGUGCAUGACAUCCCUCAAAAGGAUAUAUUUUGAACUACGUUACGACUUGAUCCCUCUAUAGGGUACGUAGGCAACUUAGACUCUCUCUAAGUCCAGUCAUGAUUUCAAAAGAUGUAUGUGCUUUUCUAGAUCAAGCUGCAAUUGAAGUUAAGCAAUUAUCGAGACUCAUUCACUCCAAGACGCAUUGUCCGUGAAUAAGUCUCGAAGGGGCAUUUGUAGACACAUAAAUUUAAUAUAAUUUAUAUUAUAUUAAAUUGAAUCCCAAGAUUAUAAUUUAUCUUGCAAAAUAAGUCAUGGAGAUAAUUAUCAAUUAAUUAUUGACCAAUAGGAUUGUUUCUUCUCUUCCAAGUUAUAAGAGAUAAAUAUCAAUUUAAAGAGAGCCAAUCAAAUCGCACCACGUCAUCAAGAAGACUUCAUGUAGGACUCUUAUUCUACCACUAUAAAUAGGGACCCUCCCUACACAAUUCAAGACACAACUCAAGAAGAAUAAAAAUCGUAGGAGAAAAUUCUCUCUACAACAUUCAAGUCAUCUUCAUCAAAUUCAAGGCGUUCUUCAUCAAAUCGAGGGCGUUCUUCAACAAAUCAAGAUCGAAGGAAGAUCGAAGGGCCAAAUCCAUCAAGAACUCCAAGAUCUUCAAGUCAAAACCCGUCAAAGUUCAAUAAAUCAAGAUCGAAUGAAGAUUGAAGGGCCAAAUCCAUCAAGAACUCCAAGAUCUUCAAGUCAAAACCCGUCAAAGUUCUGCGUUCGAUCCGAGAUUCAAGUCGCAAGACCCUCGGAAGACGUUAUUCAAGUUCAAAAUCAAAUCCGGAGCAGAUCAAGUCAACAACCCGACUCCGAAAUUCAAAGUCAAUAUAUAUUGUUCUUGAGAGAAGAAUCAGAGGAUUAAAUUAGAGUUUGUAACCCGCAAUAUUUUAUUUUAAUUCAAUAAAAUUAUCUUUGUGCAAGUUUUUCUUGUUUGUUUAAAUUGCAGAUAAGAAUUUUGUUGCUACAGUAUAAUCUCCCCUCUUAUCAGUAUUUUUUUUUUCGGAAAAAGAAAGUAAACAAUAGGGGCACUCUUUCCUUGAUAGGUGAAACUUUGAUUUAAGAAGGCCUUUGAUGCAAUAAAACUUUUAUGUUUGGCCCAAAUAUAAUCUAAAUAACACACCUGCCUAGUUGCCAAAAAAGUCCAUGUGUUGAAACAAUCAGCAAGAACUCCCCUAUUAAAGUUAGUCAAUGCAGUAAGGCCCUUCCAAGUUGAUGGUGGCAUACGCUCGCGAAAUAUGCGACUGGGGGUUGGUUUUUUAACUUGAAAAGACUGAACUACUCUUUAAUUUAGAAAUUUGGAAAACAAGCCUCAAAAUGAAGUUCUCAAUUAAUAUUUUCAAUUAAGUUCCCUUCAAUUUCAGAAAAGCCCUCUUCUCCCUUAUGUCAGGGACUGUUCUGCAAUUUUUCAUUCAGGCAACAAGUCAUGAGUCCUUUAGUUUCGGUCGCAGCUCCUUUACGACGAAAGGCAAAACUCCGAUGACUCUUCCACGGUAAAGAAAGAUGAUUCAGAUGAUUGCUUUGUAAAGCACAUUUCAACUCACUCUUCUCUCUAAAUUUUCAAGCCUCAAGCUCUCUUGAAAAACAAAAAACACCCAGAUUUGAGCCUCAAACUAUGUUCUGAUCAAGAUCCAAAAAAAUCUAACAGGGGAAAAAGAAUAAUCUUCAAGCUCGUUUUUUUACUGCAAAAACCUCAGCAACAACCCGUGCAAAUUCGCCACAAGAAAACAGAUCUCAAACCCCUUGAAAAUCCGAGGAAACAUCUGGCCCGGUCGAUAUUUUCAGAAAAAAACACAAAUAAUUUGAGAUUUUCAGAACAACAAUCCGUGAACAAAUACUAAUUUUCGUGUUUUUCCAGUGGCUUCCCCGACGUCCCUCUGUCUUUUUUCCCUUUAUUAUUUAAAAUUGAAUUGUUUAAAAUUUACUGAGGUAGUUUAUUCUUUUCACGAAAGUCAGCAGACAAUUUUGAUGCAAGGACCCGUAUGCGCUGCAAAACACGACGUAAGGGGGUUUUCGUUAAUUUUUUUUAACAGAUGGGCUUUUUGGACAAUAUAAUUAGAGAUAACGCAGGUCUAUGCUAAUUAGGGGUGAAUACGGCCGGGUUUGAGCGGGUUUCGGUAAAAAAUCAACCCGACCCGAGUUGUGCGGGUUGACAAAUUAGCAAACUGCAACUGCUAAUUUCUAUACACAAACUGCUGGGUUCGGGUGGCGGUCAGGUCUGGCAGGUGGCGGUCGGGUGGCGGGCUGGUUCAACAAAUAUCCAAUACCAAAGAAAGUUUUGACAAAAUUUAAUCCAAUUCAUUUCCAAAAAAAAUCCUUUAAAAAAAAAUCUUCCAAAGAAAAUGACAUCAUUCACGAAAGAAUUGUCAACCUCCUUCAAUUUUUUAUAGUUCUCCCACUGUUUCCUCACCUGCUCCUUUUUCCUCUCUUUUGUCCAUUUUCUAUUUUUCUUUCUUUUUUCUUUUUAUUUUUUGCUCUACAAACAGUCGGAUAGCUUCUCGUCGAAAUUUGCCAUCACUUUAUGCUUGACAUUGCUAAAUGAGAAUGACAAUAGUUUUGAAGUGCGCUCCACCGAUGUCGUACACUAUUUUUAUGGCGAUCGAUAACAUAAAAAUAUUGGCUGGAAAAUAAAUAUGUGAGAGAAGCAACCAUGAAAUAGAUAAAGAGAAGACAAGAAGAGGCGCUCGACAGGGGAGGCGCAAAUAAAGUGCAAAUCCCUAGAUUUCCCUAAUUAUUUGAUAUUAUAUAUAUUUGUAUGAGUUGUAUGCGGGCGGGUCGGGUGGGUUGCGGGUUGUAAUUGUCAAACCUGCUACCCGACCCGUUCUGCUCGGGUGUUCAUUUUGCCAAGCUGCUGGGCAUAAUUUUGUAGGUAAAAAUUGCGGGUUUCGGGCGGGUCGGUUCGGGUCGGGCGGAUCGGGCGGGUUUAUGUUCACCCCUAUAAAUGCGCUAAUACCUCAUUUAUUUUAUGACACCCCUUAUAUAUUUAUUUUAUUAAUUUCACAUUCCUCUACAAGAAACAACAUGUAGGGGUACAUCAGUCUGACAAAAAAGUGAGGAUAGUCAUUAGCCGCAUAAGCUACAGAUGAACAUAGAACGAGCUCGAACUUCGUCGGCCAUCUGUAACCUUUGUUUCAACUAUUUGUUUUGGUAAAAUCCCAAUUAGAAGACUUUCAUUAAAUAUUAAGAAAUAUAAAUACAUUCAGCUGUGACAAAUUGUCUUCAUGUUUAGAAUUUAAUAUUUUGUAUUUAGAACUAAUUUGUUUGAGAUGCAUAAGUCCAUUUCUCUCGUUGUGUUUUUCAAAUUUUAAUUGCGCAGCAGCCGGAGUUCCCUUGUAUUCUCCUAAUUCACAAAACAAGUUUUAAAGAGGAUCAUAUCAUAUAUCAUAAAAGGCAUGCAGCUCUAGUUUCUGUUUUUAAUUUGUUAAUGCAAAUUUAAAACACUGACAUUGGUACUUUGCAAUUAUAUUUAGGUGCAAAAUUAGAGUUUCUAGACAAAAAAUUGAAUGGCCAUUUAGGCCAAUUUGAAAGGCCGGCUUACGUCGUGGUUGGUGCAGCGUAUUAGUCGAAACAAAUAGCUAAUCGAUGUUCUAAAAAAAUUAAUAAUUCAGGGGUUUUUGUUUAAUUUGGUAUCAAGACUUGGCUAUAUAAUAACUUUCGUGAUACGUCGGUAUUUUCGUAUUGAUCCAUAUUGGUUAGGUGAUUGACAAUAACUAACCAUGACGGCAACUUGCUGUUGCCAAUUAACAAGUAACAACCAUAUGUCCGUUGUAUGUAAUUGACUAAUCAUACAAUAUGUUAGGUAAAUAUGUUUACUCAAAAAAAAUUGUUAGGUAAGUUUGUUAGGUGAGUGAUAUCAAUCAACAAUGGACAACUUGUCAAUUGUCAUUUGCAUUAUUCUCUUAAUGUAUAUAUAUAUUGUCUAUCGGUAGUGGCGACUCCAGAAAUUCGGUAUACGAAAUUGUUGGGGGUUCCCAAAAAAAUUUAGGACAUUUUUUCUUAUGCAUAAAUUAGGACAUAAUCAUAAAACAUGAAAGGAAAAAAAAAAGGAAACGAUAAUUUUAAUCAUUAUUUAACAUAUAAUGACGAGUUCAUAUAUAUUGUUAGACCUUGAGAAACUUUAUCGCGCACUUGAAAUAUUUGAAUGAGUGAUUGUGGGAUUCAAACUCAUGACUCGAAUUCAGAACCUUUUCAUUUGAACUGGCUCUGAUACCAUGUUGAAUGAUCAUCUCAACCAAAAACUUAAGCCGUUAGUGAAAUGUAUUAUUUAAUAUUAAUAUCUCCAAUAACAUAUACAUGAACUUAUUAGAAUUUCAAAUUUAUUGCUUACCCUUAAGAUAAUGAUCAACUUAAUUUCGAGGUAAGUACCUAUCCACGUCCUACACGUCAGUGACAAUUAUUUGCUCUAGUUAAUAGACAGUUUUUUUAGUUAGUCGAUUGAGUUAUUUGCUUAGUCGACAAAGGUUUUCUAGUUAGUUGCUAAUUAUUUGAUUUAGCAGAAUGCAACAGUAAGUUAUAUUUUCAUCGGCAAAAAAAAGGCGCAAGUCCAGACAAUUUUGAGCAAUAAGUCUUUCUCGACGAAGAGUAAUGGUAGGUGAUCAUUUGUUGAGCUCGAUUCCAUUACCUGAAGUUAGGCGGAACAGUUUAUUUGGUGGAAACACAUUUCUAUUUUUUCCAUUAUUACCACGAACAUCCUCGAAACUUUUAAAUAUUUACGGAAAUGACCCCGAAAUGUUUCCGACAAAUGUCAUGGUGUUUCUAUUUCCAAAAUGCAAAAACGUGUUUACCGAAGUUUCCGUGCACCAUAGCGUUUCAUUUAUGGGAUUUUAUAAUUUUCGGGAUGAAAUUGUAAGAUUAAAGUGAAAUUGAGGCUGAAUCAAGUAAAUUGGAUUAAUGUAUCAAACUGCACAUGGAAAAUGUCAAUCGAGGAACAUAUUACAUAAUUGACCUUGGGAGAAAGAGAAAGAGAGAGAAGCAUACGUUGGAUGUUAGAUAUUUUUUAAAAGGAUAAAUUUCACUUGUUGGAUGUUAGAUAUUUUUUAAAAGGAUAAAUUUCACUUUCCCCCUUUUAUUAUGGUUCAAUAUCACUUUACUCUCUUUCACUCUUAAUUGCAUUGAUUUGACCCUAUAUACUUAGAAAAUUGUCUCAAUGUUGCCCUUACCGUUAGUCUCUAGACAUUUGACCUUAACACCAUUUGAUCUAAGUCUCAAAGUUACAAAAAAACCACACCUCCCAGUUUAAAUAAUAAUUUAUUUUUAAAAUUUAAUUUUUUUUAAUAAAAAUUAAAAAUAAAUUGUGGUUGCCGUCGUGGACUAUGCUUUCUCGUUGUCUUGGAAUUUUUUUUAUUAUUUUUUAUUUUUUAUUUUAAUAAUUAUUUAAACUGGGAGAGGUGGCGUUUUUGUAAUUUCAGAGCUUAGACCGACUGUGUUAAGGUUAAAUGUCUUACAACUAACAGCGAGGGGCACAUUGAGAUAAUUUAUCAAGUACAGGAUGCAAUCGAAAAUAUAAGGAUUUAAAUUGAUACCAUGUCAAAGCACAAAUGUGGAAAGUGAAAUUUACACUUUUUAAAACUGAAGACAAAAGGUUGACAAACGUCCCUGUCAAGAAUUAUUAUACCUGUUGUUCAAGUAAUUCUCAUCUUCAACUUUCUUGUGCAAUACUCGACUCAACUUCCUUUUUGUCUUGUUUGUUCGAUGUCGAUCCUAAUAUUUCAGUUAAUAGACGGUUUUUUUAGUUAGUCGAUUGAGUUAUUUGCUUAGUCGGUCGACUAAGGUUUUUUAGUUAGUUGCUAAUUAUUUGAUUUAGCAGAAUGCAACAGCAAGUUAUAUUUUCAUCGGAAAAAAAAAGGCGCGAGUCCCGACAAUUUUGAGCAAUAAAUCUUUCUCGACGAAGAGUAAUGGUAGGUGAUCAUUUGUUGAGUCUCUCAAUUUCAUUACCUGAAGUUAGGCGGAACAGUUUAUUUGGUGGAAACACAUUUCUAUUUUUUCCAUUACUACCAGGAACAUCCUCGAAACUUUUAAAUAUUUACGGAAAUGACCCCGAAACGUUUCCGACAAGUGUCGUGGUGUUUCGAUUUCCGAAAUGCGAAAACACGUUUACUGAAGUUUCCGUGCACCAUAGCGUUUCAUUUAUGGGAUUUUAUAAUUUUUUGGGAUGAAAUUGUAAGAUUAAAGUGAAAUUGAGGCUGAAUCAAGAAAAUUGGAUUAAUGUAUCAAACUGCACAUGGAAAAUGUCAAUCGAGUAAACAUAUUACAUAAUUGACCCCGGAAGAGAGAGAAAGAGAGAGAAGCAUACGUUGGAUGUUAGAUAUUUUUUAAAAGGAUAAAUUUCAGUUGUUGGAUGUUAGAUAUUUUUAAAAAGGAUAAAUUUCACUUUCCCUGUAUUAUGCCUCGAUAUCACUUUACUCCCUUCUACUCUCAAUUGCAUCGAUUUGACCCCAUAUACUUGGAAAAUUGUCUCAAUGUGGCCAUUGACGUUAGUCUCUAGACAUUUGACCUUAACACUAUUUGAUCUAAGUCUGAAAAUUACAAAAAAAAUCAUACCUUCCAGUUUAAAUAAUUAUUAAAUUUUUUUAAAUAAAAAUUAAAAAUAAAUUGUGGUUGCCGUUGUGGACUAUGCUUUCUCGUUGUCUUGAAUUUUUUUUUUUAUUAUCAUUAUUAUUAUUAUUAUUAUUAUUAUUAUUAUUAUUAUUAUUAUUAUUAUUAUUAUUAUUAUUAUUAUUAUUAUUAUUAUUAUUAUUAUUAUAUAUAUAUAUAUAUUUUUUUUUUUUAAUAAUUAUUUAAACUGGGAGAGGUGAUGUUUUUGUAAUUUCAGAGCUUAGACCGAACUGUGUUAAUGUUAAAUGUCUGACAACUAACAACGAUGACCACAUUGAGACAAUUUUUCAAGUACGAUGGCCCAAAUCGAUGCAAUCGAUAAUAUAAUGGUGUAAAGUGAUAUCGAGCCAAAGUACAAAUGUGGAAAGUGAAAUUUACCCAUUUUAAAACCGAAGACAAAAGGUAGAUAAACGUCUCUGUCAAGAAUUAUAAUAGCUGUUGGACAAAAAUGGAUAUUCAGCGUUUCAAUUUUUCUUCCUUUCACAUUUGUCAUUGAAAAAUCAACCAUUGAGUUUCUCCUUAAAUAACUUUUGAGUUCGGAAACACUAAAUUAAUCUUCUUCUCUUAGAUAAUUCUCUUGCAUAGUUAUAAUUUCACAAACAAAUGCUUAUGUAGAAGAGUUUUUCCAGUUCACUGAAAUUAGUUGUGUGAGAUCUGAGAGAGAGAGAGAGAGAGAGAGAGAGAGAGAGAGAGAGAGAGAGAGAGAGAGCAUUGAAAGAGAUGGCUUAUGGUGCUGCUGGUAGUCUGGAGCUGACAAUUGAGCGGCUUUUGAAAUCAUCUUAUAUUUCGAUUGUUCAAAAUUCAUCUCCACAAAUCAUCAAACUUUUGUACAAAGAGAUUCUUUCCUUAAAAGAAGCUCUCAGAGUAUUCGAUAAAAAGAGGAGCACCAUCAACAUGAAGAUGGUGAAAAGUUUGGAGGCGGAAAUGGUAGAGGCAAUAUACAAAUUCGAAGAUGUAAUUGACCCUCAUCUCUCAAAUCAGUUCCAUUCACAAUCUGAAGAAGAAGAAGAGACGGCCGAUCAUCCUCCAUCAAUGGUGUACUCAGUAGAUGUGCAGGAAAUACAGCAAGAUGUCGAUUCCUUUAUCCAAACAAUGAACAUUAUGAAGAGGGCCUACAUCCAUGAGUUAUGCAACCCUUCGCCUGAAGAAGAAGAAGAUGGUGUUGUCCCGUCAAGAAUCGAUUUUGGUAUAAAUGAGUCUAACAUGGUUGGUUUAUCUGAUCUAUUCGUGACAAUCAAAGAUCGGCUUGAUUCCGAGCAAUCUGAAAGGAUGAUCGUCUCGCUCGAUGGGAUGGCGGGCAUUGGUAAGACUACUCUUGCCAAGAAACUCUUUCAAGAUCCAUUCAUUGUGAGUUGUUAUAGCAGGCUCGUGUUCGUGACCAUAGGCCCUAAAUAUCGACUAGCGGAUAUCUUGGUGGAUAUUCUAACACAAGUGAAUCCCGACAUUGAUGAAAUAAUGCUUAUGAAAGGAGAAAAAGUAUUAGCUGGAUUGAAAAGAAUGGUUUACGAAAGUUUAAAGCAUUUGAGAUUCUUGAUCGUGUUGGAUGAUGUAUGGGAAAUAGACCUCUAUUUUGUGUUGUUGGAGUUAUUUCCAGACGAGAAAAAGGGAAGUCGAGUGUUGGUCACAACUAGGAUGAAAGAAGUAGCUGACUCUGUUAAGCCUUUGAAUAUUUUCGAAAUACCAUUUCUUAAUAAGAAAGAAAGUUGGGAUCUUCUUCGUGAGAAGGUGUUUGGUGAACAAGAGUCAUUACCUUACGAACUUGAAAAAGCUGGAAAGAAGAUUGCCGAGAAUUGUGAAGGUCUUCCACUAACAAUAGUUACAGUUGCCAACAUCCUUUCCAAAGCUGACAAGACUUUAGAGUACUGGAACAAAGUAGCUGACGAGAAACAAAAUUCGGUUUACAAGGAUGCAUAUGAUCAAAUGUCAAAGGUACUAUAUCCAAGCUAUGACUACUUAGAUCAACAUUUAAAAGCAUGUUUUCUCUAUAUUGGAGCUUUCCCACAAAAUUAUUCGCUAAACCUGCCCCAACUAACCAACUUGUUGAGUGCUGAAGGAUUUCUUAACUCAGAAUCAAUGUAUUACUAUGCGCCGACCAAUAAUUAUGCAUAUGAUAGCUAUGGAUAUUUUGAUGACCUUUAUGCCACAAAUGUUAUCGUGCGCAAUGAAACAUUUGAUUUUCACCUUCAUUCGUCCUUUUGGUACUUGUGUAACAAAGAAGCUGCCAGGACCAAGUUUUUCUAUGCCUUAAAUUGCCAUGGCGAUACUCUACCGGAAGAAGGUAUAGAAAGCCAGCGCCGAUUGUGCAUCCGUAAUAAUGUUCUACUUGCCAUCAAAGAUGUGCACAACUCAAUUGCAUCUGAUUCAAAGGUACGAUCUUUCCUUUGUACCGGUUAUUUUCAUAAAUAUCCAGUACCGCUGUUUUUGGAACAUUUGAGGUUGCUGAGGGUAUUGGAAGCUCGUUCUAUUAGAUUCUAUGAGUUCCCGAUGGAAGUAUUGAAACUAGUUCAAUUAAGAUACCUCGCCCUCCUUUAUAAUGGAAACCUCCCUUCUUCCAUUUCCAAACUCUGGAACCUUCAAUACUUGAUUGUUUUUCAACAUCCAAGGAUAGUAAAAUCUGUUGGGAAUCUAUUGUAUCUGCCUAUUGAGAUAUGGAAUAUGAAUGAAUUGAAGUAUCUUCAAACCUACGGAAGAGAGCUACCACAUCCUUGUUGUGAAGGAUCUCUCAUACCAAACCUCUUAAACCUAAGUGGUGUCGGUCCUCAAAGUUGUGCCAAAUCUGUGCUCGAAAAAAUCCCUAAUUUGAAGG
rnacentral:lncRNA from 1 species